rnacentral:lncRNA from 1 species
CUCUGGCAAGUGGCAACCACCACACUACAACUCGACACCGAGAAAAGCGCAGCAAAGCAACGCAAAGCCCACGCCGCUACAGUGCUACAGCGAGCGAGCCUCUUGCCUGCCGCUACGAGCCAACGACUCGAACGCAUACACUCCAAUGGCAGCGACGGUGAUGGCCUCCAUGAGCCCCCUCGCCUCCGCCACCCCCGGCGCGCGUCGCGCUUUCCCUGUACGGCUGCUGCUCCAGGCAUCUGCGCUCGCGCCGCGCCGGCGCGCCUUGGCCGUGACCGUGAGGGCCCAGAGCGACGACGCCGAGGCCGAGCCAAAGGAGGCGGCGGCGGCGGCCACCACCCCGGCGCCAAAGUCCAAGGCGGCGGCGGCGGCGAGCCCCGGGCUGUGGGACGCGCUGGCGUUCAGCGGCCCGGCUCCCGAGCGCAUCAACGGCCGGCUCGCCAUGGUGGGCUUCGUGUCGGCGCUCGCCGUCGAGGCGUCCCGCGGCGGGGGCCUCCUCUCGCAGGCCGGCAGCGGGUCCGGGCUCGCCUGGUUCGCGGCCACGGCUGCCGUGCUGUCCGUGGCCUCGCUGGUGCCGCUGCUCAGGGGCGACAGCGCCGAGGCCAGGAGCGGCGCCGUCAUGAGCGCCAACGCCGAGCUCUGGAACGGCCGCUUCGCCAUGCUCGGCCUCGUCGCGCUCGCCUUCACUGAGUACCUCACCGGCGCACCGUUCAUCAACGCGUAGAGGCGGUUCAGUCCAAGCCAGUGCUUAUAUAUUUUGGAAGUUGGAACUGUGUAUGCUAGUCAGCUAUAGCGGCACCAUGCCCGUAGUAGGAGCCUAGCUACAGUUGGACGAGCUACUUUUUAUUGGGAUUUACUAGUCUUGGGCCAUUUACUUCUCUUCUUAUUAAAGUCCACUCAUAAAUCAGAAAUCCAAUUUUAUCUGACGGGAAUAAGGGCGGAAGACACUAGUCAAAGUUGUUUAGGCUAUCCACACUCGUACAACCCUAAAUUUUUACUCUAAAAAUAAUAUUCUAUCCUGAUCAGCGAGAUUCUUUACUCUAUACCACAAUUCUCCGCACUCAUAUUUACUCUAUAUCUAACCCUAUCCCUGGGAACACACUACACGUCCUCCACGUGGUCCAACCAGGCGGGCGCGGCAUCGGCUGCCGUCCUCGUGCACAGUGGAUAGAGCAGCACCGUACGAGCGCUAGGAGUGGCGUACCGCCGCGGUGCAUGCAGUUUCCAGUGCCGUUUUCAGUUCCCGCUGCAGCGUAUUGCCUUGCGCUAAAACUUUAGCGUGCCCUUCCCAGUGCAUGGCUGCGGGCAGCCUUAACCAAUUCAACAUCAUGUUCAAGUGUUUAUAAUAUUGAAUAUAAAUUGUACAUAUGUAUAUAUGAUUUUUGUAAAAUAAAAAAAUAAUCGUGUCGAGCCGGGCCAACACUACGGGCCGAGGCUACGACCCAAGCCCCACACGACCCUCGUGUCGGGUUGGCCCAGGCACUAUUAAAUGGGUCGUGCCUCGAGCCAGCUCGCUAAUCACGACCCAUUUGGCCAUCUAUACCUCCGCACGAUAAUGAUGGUACUCGCCUCAGUUGCCACCGCUUCGUUCGCCAUUCUACUUCUUUCUCUCUCCCCUCAUGCCUUCACCUCCGCGCCACCCCAUUCUUAGCAGAGAGCGUAGGAGCAUGCGUCUCCUCCCCGUAUUCGUCCGACACCGGCCCCAAUACCGACUCGCGCAGUGGCUAUUGCACGUUCACGUCCACGAGGACGUUUCACAUCAUGCGUGCACCAUCGUUUUCGCCGUCGUCGGACGUCCCGUUCAUCUACCCAGCCUUCACCCUGUUCUUCCUCUCCAACCUGUUGCCGCUCAUGGUCGCAGCCGCGAGCCGACCGACGCUCGUCGACACGGGUACGACGCGAGUCGGUCAUGCUCUUGUCCUUUCUGAGAGCACCUAGAGGGGGGGUGAAUAGGUGAUCCUGUAAAACUUAAACUUAAUGCCACAAAAACUUGAUUAAGCGUUAGCACAAAUAAUGCCAAGUGGCUAGAGAGUAGUCUCAACAAAACACAAUAACCACAAGAGAUCAAUCACAGAGAUGGCACAGUGGUUUAUCCCGUGGUUCGGCCAAGACCAACGCUUGCCUACUCCACGUUGUGGCGUCCCAACGGACGAGGGUUGCAAUCAACCCCUCUCAAGCGGUCCAAAGACCCACUUGAAUACCACAGUGUUUUGCUUGCUUUUACUAUAUCCCGUUUGCGAGGAAUCUCCACACUUUGGAGCCUCUCGCCCUUACACUUAGAUGACCACAAAGAAGCACGGAGUAAGGGAGGGAUAAGCAACACACUUAAGACAAGAAAUCACAGCAACACCACGCACACAAGUCGCAACAAGAGCUCACAACACAACUCAAUGAGUUCACAACUCAACUAGAGCUCUAAUUGCUAUCGCAAGGAAUCAAAAGUGCGGAAUCGAUGUCUUAGUGCUUAGUAAUGCUCAGAGAAUGCUUGGUGUACUCCUCCAUGCACCUAGGGGUCCCUUUUAUAACCCCAAGGCAGCUAGGAGCCGUUGAGAGCAUUCCUGGAAGGCAAAUCUUGCCUUCUGUCGCCUUGCGCACCGGACAGUCUGGUGCACACCGGACACUGUCCGGUGCGGAUUUCUUUCCUUCCCUGGCGAAGCCGACCGUUGGCGCCUGGGAGCCGUUGGCGCACCGGACACUGUCCGGUGCACACCGGACACUGUCCGGUGCACACCGGACAGUCCGGUGCUCCCUCCCGACCGUUGGCUUGGCCACGUGUCUUGUGCAGAUCGCGCAGCCGACCGUUGGCCUGGCCGACCGUUGGCUCACCGGACAGUCCGGUGCACACCGGACAGUCCGGUGAAUUAUAGCCGUACACCGCCGAUGAAAUCCCGAGAGCAGCGAGUUCGCACGAGCCAGCCUGGCGCACCGGACACUGUCCGGUGCACCCAGACUGAGCAGACUUUGACAGAGCAGAGCCAUCUCAUUUCCAAUUCAAUCUUUCCUGUUUCCAGCACUUAGACACAAUACAUUAGUCCAUAAAACAAUGUACUAAGUCUGGAAACAUACCUUUUGACAUGAUUUGCACUUUGUCCACCACAUUGCAUAAAUCAACACAAGAGCACUUGCGUUGGCACUCAAUCACCAAAAUACUUAGAAAUGGCCCAAGGGCACAUUUCCCUUUCAAUCUCCCCCCUUUUGGUGAUUUAUGCCAACACAACAUAAAGCAACUAGAACAAGUGCAAUAUCAAUGCAAAUGAAAACUCAAUAUAGUUUUGAUUCAUAUUUGGCAUAUAUGGAUCACUCUUUGCCACCACUUGGUUUGUUUUUGCAAAUCAAACUCAAUUUCCUAUCUCUAAGUCAAAUUCACUUGUUAAGACAUGAAGAGAGUCGUUCCAAUAGAAAUUGAUUCAAGAUUUCAAAAACUCCCCCUUUUUCCCAUAAUAAACACUUCUCCCCACAAGAAGCCAACUUUUGACAAAAAGAGCCAGUAAGAGUAUUUUGACAAAACAAAAGCUCUAUUCUAUUAUUUUCAAAAUUCUCAAGUGGUAGCUGAUCCAUUUAUUGCUUUGGCCUUAUUUUCUCCCCCUUUGGCAUCAAGCACCAAAACGGGAUCAAUUUUGGCCCUUUAACCCCAUUGCCUCACCAAAAUCUUCAACCUAGAGUAAAAAGGCAAUAAGAGUGCAAAGAUGAACUUGAAAAGUUACUCUUUCAUCGGAGUGCAGUGGAAGUCUUGCAUGGUCCAAGUCCACCUUUUCCCUUUCAAACCACCUUUGAGACUGAAUUGAGCAAACUCAAGCACACAGUUAGUCUCAAACGAUCAAGUUGUAGCAUAUCUCCCCCUAAAUUUGUGCAUCACUUGCAAAUGGACUUGUAAGGUCCGGGGAGUGCUUGUACAACUUGAGCACCAUAAGUAAACAACAAAAUGCAUAAGGAACAUGAUCAAAGGCAUAAACACAUGUAUGCUAUAAAUCAAUCUAAGUUCCGCGAAUCUAAGACAUUUAGCUCACUACGCAACUUGCAAAAGGUCUGUUCAUCUAAAGGCUCGGUAAAGAUAUCGGCUAGCUGGUUCUCGGAGCUAACAUGAAAUACUUCGAUAUCUCCCUUUUGCUGGUGAUCUCUCAAAAAGUGAUGCCGGAUGUCUAUGUGCUUUGUGCGGCUGUGUUCAACAGGAUUAUCCGCCAUGCGGAUAGCACUCUCAUUAUCACAUAGGAGUGGGACUUUGCUCAAAUUGUAGCCAAAGUCCCUGAGGGUUUGCCUCAUCCAAAGUAGUUGCGUGCAACACUGUCCUGCGGCAACGUACUCGGCCUCAGCAGUGGAUAGGGCAAUAGAAGUUUGUUUCUUGGAACUCCACGACACCAGGGACCUUCCUAAGAAUUGGCACGUCCCCGAUGUACUCUUCCUAUCAACCUUACAUCCAGCAUAGUCGGAGUCUGAAUAUCCAAUCAAGUCAAAGGUAGACCCCUUUGGAUACCAGAUCCCGAAACAAGGCGUAGCGACUAAAUAUCUAAGAAUUCGCUUCACAGCCACUAAGUGACACUCCCUUGGAUCAGAUUGAAAUCUAGCACACAUGCAUACACUAAGCAUAAUAUCCGGUCUACUAGCACAUAAAUAAAGUAAAGACCCUUGUUGGGGACUUGUUCUCAAAGGCUAUGAGUCAAGAACAAGGCAACAUAGAAAAUGUUAAUCGGUAAAGUCCUUCGUCCUUCGAAGCAUUAUUCCCCUUAGGAUAUAAUGGUUUUCGGACGAAGGUUAUGAAGGGCGUACCUUCAUAAAUGCACUAUACAGUGACGAAGGAUGAAUUGUAAGGAAUAUAAAGGACAACACAAACAAUUAUAUAUUACUAUCAUGCGUAAACAGAAAUAACGUUGAAUUACAAAUGUACCUUCAACUUGAAGGAGAUGAAAGUACAAGCGUGACGCAAAAGCGAAUGCCAAAUCAGCGUGUCCAGUACGGGGGUACUGUUCACCUAUUUAUAGGCACGGGACACAACCCAUACAAAAUUACAUUCAUGUCCUUUACAUUUGAUAAUAAUUCUAUAGUAAUCUAUCAAGGUCUGAAUAGCCUUUUCAUCUUUAAGUCGGUUUCAUUUUGUUGCUACCAUGCUGAAGCUUUCCUGCUCACACCUUCGGCACUGUAUCAACCUUCAUAUUAUUCUGGUCUGCUGUGAUACCGACUUGAGUCCGAAGAUACCUGUUCACACAUUAAACUCCAGAAAUACUGUUAAAUCCUGUUUUUGAGGACCUUCGUAGGCCGAAGGCCCCCAACAGUAGCCCCUCACAAUAUUAAUUUGUUUAAAAUAAUAAAUUUAGAUUGCGACAUGGACGAAGGCUUUACGCCGAAGGUCCGAAAAAACACCUUCCCUUUGCUAGAAUAGCAACAUUCACUGACAAGCGGGGUCUUUCAAUUUUCAACGCACUGGGCGUAUAAAUACGGUCAUACCGCAAACUCAUUUGGCACGCUCUCUUGCCAUCUGCUCCCGCUCACUCAAUUUUUAGCUCUUGUGCACUAAGAUUUGCUGAGCUUUUAGUUUUGAAGCUUCGGCUUUGAAAACAGUUUUUUAGUGCUUCCGAAGAUGUCUGAAGAUAAGAAGGCUGCUGCUGAGAUGAAGCUGAGUCUUGACGAAGAGAAAAACUUGGGGUUUCUUAUAGCGAUGUCGAAGACCAACACAGAAAAAAUCACCAAGGAGAUUCUGGAAGGUUUGUCUGAAGAUACCGGUGACAGCGACAGUUAUGAUGUGGAUAGUGGUGGUGAAGACUCCGAAGAUCGCCCUUGGCGACCAAGCCAUUCAGUUUAUGGUAAAUCAACUAUCAAAGAGAAUCAUCUUGUCAAUAUGAGAGGAAGGUAUUUCCGGGAUUUGUCCGUUGUGAGGGCCGACGAAGGGGAGAAGACUUGUCCACACCCUGAAGAGAAUGAAGUCGUAGUGUACCGAAGCUUUUUGAAAGCUGGACUGCGAUUUCCCUUGAGAAGCUUCGUUGUAGAGGUGCUGAAAAUAUUCGAAGUCUAUCUUCACCAACUUACCCCCGAGGCAAUCAUAAGGCUGAAUACCUUCGUAUGGGCCGUGAGAAGCCAAGGUCUGGAACCUAAUGCGAAAAGCUUCUGCAACAUACACGAAUUAUCAUACGAGACAAAACCUUGGGGUAAGGAACAGUAUCACAAUAACUUUGGCUGCUACAAUUUUGUUUCUCGGUCUGGGUCAAGCUGUCCCGUGCCAACCUUUCGGAAGAGAUGGCCCGGCGACUGGAUGACAGAAUGGUUUUAUGUGAAAAAUGAUCUGAAGGCACGAGACUAUAUCAAAGGUAUAAUUAUGCGCCCUAUUUGGCAAAGCUUCGGCCUUCGGAGGCCGAAGGUUGAAAUGAAUGAAGCUGUCGAAGAAUGCCAGAGAGCCUUCGGCGCUGUCUGUUCUUUUAUUGGAACGAGAGAUUUAGUACAAGAGCAUAUUGCCUUCAGGGUAUGGCCGCUCGCGGAGAAAUGGGAAAUGCCGCAAGAAACCAUAAAAGAGGCCGACGAAGGUGGACUUAUCAGGCUGAAGUACACUUUUAAGUUCGGAGAUAAAUUCGUUGAGCCAGAUGAUGACUGGUUAAAAAGCAUUGAAAAUUUAAGUGAUGAACUGCUUGGGGCUUAUUCGAAGGCCGAAGAUACUGCACUGUCAGCAGCCUUCGGAGGCCGAAAAAAGAAGAGGCUGAAUCGGGUGUUUGAUGCAAUCAGGUUCGUCUACCCUGACUAUCGUUACCCCAUUCGAGGGCAGAAGAGAAAAAACACAACCUCUGCAAAAGAAGAAGCUGCAACUGCUCCUAGCGAGCCAGAACCGAAAAGAAAAAGGAUAAAGGUCCUCACACAUCGGCCGCGCUAUACUGAACCAGCUUCGGUGCCCGAGUUCACCGGAGAAACUUCUUCGGCCACCGAGGCUGAAAAGCCAACCAAACCAACCUUGCUGCCAGAAGUUGCAGAAAUGGCCGAAGCGCCAACAAGGAUAUAAUUGAAAGAACCGAAGAUUUUGUUAUCAGAAACCAAAGAGAUGGCCGAAGCGCCAUCCACAGAAAAAAUGGAAGAAGUGAAAAAACCAACUGAAGAAAAAACAUCAAAAGUUUUGAGUCCUGCAGCAAAUGUUGAGACAGUAAAAAAUCAAAAAGUGCCAGCAGUGACUCCGAAAAGAAAGAGAAUGGCUAAUGUGCUAGAUGUACUGGAAACAAUUAAAUCUUCAAGCACACCUCCGAAGAAGACUGCUGCCAUUCCUGAAGCAACAACUGAAAUUUCUGAUACUAAAGCUCAAGAGCAAGAAACUGAAGCCGAAGCUGGGUCCUCAGAGCCCGCGAAGAUAAAAUCUUUGGAAACUGAGGAAGAAAAAAUAACAGAGCCAACUUUUGUUGAAGAAAUCGGUGUCAUUGCCCCCGAAGCAUCCUCCAAAGUCCGUGACUAUAUUGUUCGUCAUGCUUCGGGGAAAAAACUAUCAGAAAAAGAAGAGCAAGAGGCCCAGCACUACGCCCAAAAACUGAAGUAUCCAAAGGGGGCGUUAAUAUUCAAUGGCAGUGGAGAAGAAGACUUUUUGUAUUGUCUCCCUGACAGCAAGGAGAUUUCUGUCUGUCGGGAGAUGAGCAAGAGCUUCGGAUUCCCAACAUUAGAAGACGGGCUCUCGGUGCUGUCGAAGAACGAUCUGGCCGACAGCCUGGCCUAUAAUAGCUUAAAGGUGCAACAAAUGGGAUCUUUGUAUUUUUCGUUGAGACCAAAAUUUUUCAUUUACUUAAAUCUAUUGACGCACACAUAUUUCUCUUUGUAGGGCCUGAUACUUAGCAAUGCCCUCAGGGCACAGAAAGAUGCUGAAGACGAAGGGUGUGCUAUAGCCCUGAGCAACCUUCGUUCUGAAGUAAUUGAACUGAGGAACGAAGGUCUCGAAAAAGAUAAAAUAUUACACUCAUUGAUAAAUAAAAUAAAGGAAGACGAAGCUGCUUUUAAAGGUCAAGCUGAAGCUCAGAAGCGCGAAAUUGAAGAUCUUCGGAAACAACUGGCCAGAGCCAAGGAAGAACGCAUACUUGAAGAAACAAAGCGAGAACUCAGCGACCAAUGGGCAGAUCACUUAGAAGGAACUGUUGAAGAGCUUCGUUCGUCCAAGAAGAGAUGCUAUAACAAAUCUAUAGAGUGUGUUAAGAAGUUAAAAGCUAGCUUCGCUAGAGUCGGCGCAUUCUCAAGCGAAGAAAACUUCACAAGAGGCAAUCCCGAAGGUCCCAUCGAAUGGAUCGACCACGAAGCUGAGGCCUUCGAGGAAAUUUUGAAUAGCCGUGGAGAUAUAUGUGCUUUCUCGGGUGCCAGAGGAAUUGCCACCAUUUUAGAGAAAAAGGGCUGCGAACAUGUAAAAAUUUUAGCGCAAUCUGAAGCUGCUUUGUCCUUCGAAGAUGCAAGAGAUCCUUCGGCCGAAGCUAGCAUGGUUGGUGGAAAAUUUUUCACCGAUAUCUGGGAUAAUGGUGGCCGAGAAAUGGCCGGAGAAAUUAUUCGAAAAAGUGAAAAGGGCAUUCACGAUGCUAGAGAAGUGGCUGAGGCUGCUGAAAGAAGCGCAGAGCCCGAAGGGCAAAUAGGUAUCAACUGAUGGUUUUAUUGUGUUGUAAUUUUUGAUUUUAAACUUCGUUCGCAAUUUGUAAUAGCAAUGUAGCCGUAUCCUAUCCUCCUUCAGAUCCUACGAAAGCGUCUUCGGGACCUUCCCCUAAAGGAGACAACGAAAUUAAAGAGAUGGCUGAAGCUAUCAUGGAUGAAGUUGUUAAUCGUCUCCUGAACGAGGCUGCAGAAGUCGUUUUGAGAGAAGAUUAAGUAUUAUUGUAAAAACUUCUGAAAUGUAAUAUACUGUAACAUUUUGUAACCCUGAAUGUAAUAUACCUGUUUUUAUUGUUCAGCUCUUUACGAUGCAUGAAAUUUUACACGUACCAUUUUUGAGUCUUUGACGAAAAAACACCUUCCCUUCUUUUCAUGCUUCGUGAAGAAGAAUUUUUCUUUGUCACAACAAUAUCCAGUGUUCUGAUGAAUAAUAUCCAGGCUUCGUGAAGAUAUUUUCCGAAGCUACACUUCCGGCGAUCAAUAAUGCAUCUCCUUGUGACAUUAUGAUUUUUCCCUUUUUUCAAAACAUUCUUCUGUAGAUCGAUAUUGUAUCCACCUCUUGUGCCAUAUGCAACAUGAUGUAUGAUGCUUAUGCUAUGCGAAAUGAUGCGAUGAUGUUAUGUUAUGUGAGGUGAUGUUUAUUCCGAAGAUACGUACACAUCCCUGCAAUAAAACACAUAAUCUUUUAUAAGCCUCCCUUAGGAGCUUCUUCGCCUUUUACUUUAGCGGAAUCAGCGUUUAUUUUUCGCUGUAAGCCUCCCUUAGGAGCUUCUUCGCCUUUUACUUUCAGCGGUAUUCGCGUUGACUUUUCGCGCUUCGCCUUUUACUUAGGCGGUAUCAGCGUUGACUUUUCGCUGUAUGCUCUGCAUUCCCUUUGGAACGACUUUGGAGCAGAAAACUUACACUGCACUCCUUCUGGAGCGGCUUUUUGUGGCUUCGGCAAACUUACUCUGCGUUCCUUAGAACGACUUUUUGUUGCUUCGAAGAAUUUUCGAUAAUUUGAAGGUCCUCUUUGUUAUCACAAAUCUUUAAACUUCAACAACUUAGGCCUGUGAAGAAAAUAUAUUUUCCUUGUGGCAAACAACGAAACUAUGUACAUGAAAUCUAAACAAUGUCCUUUAUUACACAGAAAAUAAGACUGAAUAAGAAAGACUGCUAUUAAGGUAGGAUAUUUGUCAAUAGAUGUGCUUUGACUCUGGCAUAGUGCUGUUGACUGUACGAGCUUCGGACUGCUCUCUGAAGUCCCUUUGGUGUGGAGCAUACUGGCUCCCUUCUGGCUGCUGGCCUUGUUGCAGCGGAGGUGGAGGCGGAGGCUGUUGCCAGGAAGCUUGAGGUUGAUUCGCCGAAGCAACAGAAACUGCAGGGUGGUUGCCCACAUAUUCUGGGAUGUAGGGCGAAUGAUACGAAGCAGUAUGCAUGACCUGCUUCGGCUGAGUUUGUUGUGCUGCGGCUUCGGCUAUUUCCUUUUGCUUCUGGAUGGUAACAUGGCACAUCCUGGUGGUAUGGCCUUUGUUCUCACCGCAAAACAAACAAAAGAUUCUUCUUGGUUGAUCUCCAAAUCUUCCGCCGAAGCCCCUAGCGCCUCUGCCUCUUGGAGCUGGUGGUCGGAAGGAGCCUUGCUGUUGCCCCGAAGCCUGUGAGGAACACUGUGGCCUUUGCUGUUGGCUCCCUCGAUCAUCAUUUUGGGUAGAGUUAUGAAUUGAUCUAACGUGCCUCGGAUAGAACCUUCCUCCGAAGCCCCUGGUCAUUUCAGAAAACCUGAAAGCCUCCUCCCUUCUUUGGCGAAAAUCAUUAUCGGCCCGAAUGUACUCGUCCAUCUUCUGGAGCAGCUUCUCCAAAGUUUGAGGAGGCUUCCUAGCGAAGUACUGAGCUGACGGUCCUGGCCGAAGCCCCUUGAUCAUGGCCUCAAUGACAAUUUCAUUGGGCACCGUUGGUGCCUGUGCCCUCAAACGCAAGAACCUCCGGACAUACGCCUGAAGGUAUUCUUCGUGAUCCUGGGUGCACUGGAAUAGAGCUUGAGCAGUAACCGGCUUCGUCUGAAACCCUUGGAAGCUAGUUAACAACAAGUCCUUCAGCUUUUGCCAUGAAGUGAUCGUUCCUGGUCGAAGGGAGGAAUACCAGGUUUGAGCAACACUCCUGACAGCCAUAACAAAAGAUUUGGCCAUAACUGCAGCAUUGCCACCAUACGAAGAUACUGUUGCUUCGUAGCUCAUCAAAAACUGCUUCGGGUCUGAGUGGCCAUCGAAUACGGGAAGUUGAGGCGGCUUGUAGGACGGAGGCCAAGGUGUAGCCUGCAGCUCAGCGGACAGAGGAGAAGCAUCAUCGAAAACAAAAUUCCCAUGAUGGAAAUUAUCAUACCAGUCAUCUUCGUUGAGGAAACCCUCCUGAUGAAGGUCUUGGUGCUGAGGCCUUCGGUGCUGCUCAUCCUGAGCAAGAUGACGAACUUCUUCAGAGGCUUCGUCUAUCUGCCUUUGCAGUUCAGCUAGCCUGGCCAUCUUCUCUUUCUUCCUCUGCACCUGUUGAUGAAGCAUCUCCAUGUCUCUGAUUUCUUGAUCUAUCUCGUCCUCCGGUGGUGUCGGGCUGACAGCCUUCCUUUUCUGGCUUCGAGCCUCCCGAAGAGAGACAGUCUCCUGAUUGUGGUCCAGCGGUUGAAGAGCUGCAGUGCCAGUUGCUGAAGCUUUCUUCGGCGCCAUAACGAAGGUUUAUGAUCGCCGAAGGUGUUCAGAAAACUCAGAGUGUGGAAGUGAGUUCACCGGAGGUGGGCGCCAAUGUUGGGGACUUGUUCUCAAAGGCUAUGAGUCAAGAACAAGGCAACAUAGAAAAUGUUAAUCGGUAAAGUCCUUCGUCCUUCGAAGCAUUAUUCCCCUUAGGAUAUAAUGGUUUUCGGACGAAGGUUAUGAAGGGCGUACCUUCAUAAAUGCACUAUACAGUGACGAAAGAUGAAUUGUAAGGAAUAUAAAGGACAACACAAACAAUUAUAUAUUACUAUCAUGCGUAAACAGAAAUAACGUUGAAUUACAAAUGUACCUUCAACUUGAAGGAGAUGAAAGUACAAGCGUGACGCAAAAGCGAAUGCCAAAUCAGCGUGUCCAGUACGGGGGUACUGUUCACCUAUUUAUAGGCACGGGACACAACCCAUACAAAAUUACAUUCAUGUCCUUUACAUUUGAUAAUAAUUCUAUAGUAAUCUAUCAAGGUCUGAAUAGCCUUUUCAUCUUUAAGUCGGUUUCAUUUUGUUGCUACCAUGCCGAAGCUUUCCUGCUCACACCUUCGGCACUGUAUCAACCUUCGUAUUAUUCUGGUCUGCUGUGAUACCGACUUGAGUCCGAAGAUACCUGUUCACACAUUAAACUCCAGAAAUACUGUUAAAUCCUGUUUUUGAGGACCUUCGUAGGCCGAAGGCCCCCAACAACCCUAUCAUAGACCGGUAUGCUUUUUGAUCAACGGACUUACCUCCUUUGUUGAGGUCGGUGUGUCCGUCGGUUCCCAUCGAAGUCUUUGCGGGCUUGGCGUCCUUCAUCCCAAUCCGCUUGAUCAAGCCUUGCGUGUACUUGGUUUGAGAGAUGAAGGUUCCAUCCUUGAGUUGCCUCACUUGGAACCCAAGGAAGUAGCUUAACUCGCCCAUCAUCGACAUCUCGAAUUUCUGAGUCAUCACUCUGCUAAACUCUUCACAAGACUUUUGGUUAGUAGAACCAAAUAUUAUGUCAUCGACAUAAAUUUGGCACACAAAAAGAUCACCAUCACAAGUCUUAGUAAAAAGAGUUGGAUCGGCUUUCCCAACCUUGAAAGCAUUAGCAAUUAAAAAAUCUCUAAGGCAUUCAUACCAUGCUCUUGGGGCUUGCUUAAGUCCAUAGAGCGCCUUAGAGAGCUUACACACGUGGUCGGGGUACCGUUCAUCCUCGAAGCCAGGGGGUUGCUCCACGUACACCUCCUCCUAGAUUGGCUCGUUGAGAAAGGCGCUCUUCACAUCCAUUUGGAACAACCUGAAGGAAUGGUGAGCGGCAUAUGCUAGCAAGAUACGAAUGGACUCUAGCCUAGCCACAGGAGCAAAAGUCUCCUCAAAGUCCAAACCUGCGACUUGGGCAUAACCUUUUGCCACAAGUCGUGCCUUGUUCCUUGUCACCACCCCGUGCUCGUCUUGUUUGUUGCGGAACACCCACUUGGUUCCCACAACAUUUUGCUUGGGACGAGGCACCAGUGUCCAAACUUCAUUUCUUUUGAAGUUGUUAAGCUCCUCUUGCAUGGCCAACACCCAGUCCGGAUCUAGCAAGGCCUCUUCUACCCUGAAAGGCUCAAUAGAAGAGACAAAGGAGUAAUGCUCACAAAAAUUAACUAAUCGAGAUCGAGUAGUUACUCCCUUGCUAAUAUCACCCAAAAUCUGGUCGACGGGAUGAUCCCUUUGAAUCAUCGCUCGAACUUGGGUUGGAGGUGCCGGUUGUGCUUCUUCCUCCAUCACAUGAUCAUCUUGUGCUCCCCCUUGAUCACUCGCCUCCUCUUGAUGAACUGAAAGGGAAAUGUGCCCUUGGGCCAUUUCUAAGUAUUUUGGUGAUUGAGUGCCAACACAAAGUGCUUAAUGUGAAUCUAUGCCCAUGGAUGGACAAGUUGCAAAUCACAAGUAAAAGGUAUGUUUCUAAGACUUAGUACAUUGGUUUUGUGUACUAAUAUAUUUGUCUAAGUGUUAGAAACAGAGAGAAGAAGAAAAGGAGAUGUUGGCUGUGUACAGCCAAAGGCUGCUUCGGGCUGGGGCACCGGACUGUCCGGUGUGCACCGGACAGUGUCCGGUGCGCCAGACCAGCGCGGGGCAAACCAGCCGCUCUCGGGUUUUCUCCGGCGACUUCGGCUAAAAUUCACCGGACUGUCCGGUGUGCACCGGACUGUCCGGUGAGCCAACGGUCGGCCAAGCCAACGGUCGGCCGCGGAAUCUGCGCGCGACACGUGUUCUGGCCAACGGUCGGAAGAAGGCACCGGACUGUCCGGUGCGCCAGAUCUGCAACGGUCAGCAACGGUCGGCUGCGCCUGUUAAGGAAAGAAAUCGGGCACCGGACAGUGUCCGGUGUGCACCGGACUGUCCGGUGCGCCCGACGACAGAAGGCAAGGAUGGCCUUCCAGAUUUGUUCUCAACGGCUCCUAGCUGCCUUGGGGCUAUAAAAGGGACCCCUAGGCGCAUGGAGGAGGACACCAAGAAUUCCUACAACAUUGCUAAGCACCAAGACAUCGAUUCCGCGCAUUUGAUUCAUUGUGAUAGCAUCUAGAGCUCUUGUUGAGUUGUGAACUCAUUGUGUUGCGUUGCGAGCUCUUGUUGCGAUUUGUGUGCGUGUUGUUGCUCUGAUUUUCGAGUCUUGUGUGCGUUGCUCAUUCUCACCUUACUCCGUGCUUCUUAGUGAAACUCAAUUGUAAGGGCGAGAGACUCCAAGUUGUGGAGAUUCCUCGCAAACGGGAAAAGAGAAAAGAAAAGAAGAACACCGUGGUAUUCAAGUUGAUCAUUGGAUCACUUGAGAGGAGUUGAGUACAACUCUCGUCCGUUGGGACGCCACAACGUGGAGUAGGCAAGUUUUGUACUUGGCCGAACCACGGGAUAACCACCGUGUCAACUCUGUGAUUGCUUUCUUGUGGUUAUCGGGUUCUGACUCUCUCUAGCCACUUGGCAAUUACUGUGCUAACGCUUAAUCAAAGUUUUGUGGCUAUAAGUUUAAGUUUUUACAGGAUCACCUAUUCACCCCCCCUCUAGGUGCUCUCAAUUGGUAUCAGAGCCGUUCUCUUCAAGAAAGGGACUAAUCGCCCGAAGAGAUGGAUCCUAAGGGAAAGGGGAUGGUGGUCGACAACAACGAGAAGGAGUCCAUCUUCAACGAACCGAAGAAUGACAAGUCUACCGACUUGGGUUCAAGCCACAAGCGAAAAGAUGGGAAGAAGAAGAAGACAAGGCGCAUCAAGGAGAUCGUCUACUACGACAGCGACGAAUCCUCUUCUUCCCAAAAGGACGACGACCACAACGACUACGAGAAAAGGAAACCGGUUAAUUCGAACUUUUCUUUUGACUACUCUCGUAUUCCGCAAAGUUCAAAUUCGCAUUUGCUCCCCAUUCCACUUGGCAAGCCCCCUCACUUUGAUGGAGAGGACUACGGAUUUUGGAGCCACAAAAUGCGUACUCACUUGUUCUCUCUCCAUCCUAGCAUAUGGGAGAUUGUAGAGAGUGGAAUGCAAUUUGAUAGCUCGGAUAGCCCUAUGUUUAUUAAUGAACAAAUUCAUAAAAAUGCACAAGCUACUACUGUUCUCUUAGCAUCUCUGUGCAGGGAAGAGUACAAUAAGGUGAGCGGCUUGGACAAUGCCAAGUAGAUAUGGGACACCCUCAAGAUCUCUCACGAGGGCAACGACGUCACCAUGCUCACCAAAAUGGAAUUGGUGGAAGGCGAACUUGGAAGAUUCGCUAUGAUAAGGGGGGAGGAGCCAACCCAGACAUACAACCGGCUCAAGACCCUUGUCAACAAGAUAAAGAGCUACGGAAGCACGCGAUGGACGGAUCACGACGUCGUCCGACUAAUGCUAAGGUCCUUUACCGUUCUUGAUCCUCAUCUCGUAAACAAUAUUCGUGAGAAUCCCAGGUACACGAAGAUGACGCCCGAGGAGGUUCUUGGAAAAUUCGUGAGCGGGCGGAUGAUGAUCAAGGAGGCAAGAUACGUCGACGACGCGUUGAACGGUCCACUCCACGAGCCUCAACCUAUUGCUCUAAAGGCAACAAGGAACAAGGAGUCGCUACCUAGCAAGGUGACGCAAGUUGAGGCGGCUGGGCUCAAUGAUGAAGAGAUGGCUCUCAUCAUCAAGAGAUUCAAGACGGUGCUGAAGGGUCACAAGGGGCAGCCAAGCAAGAACAAGACAAAGGGGAAACGCUCAUGCUUCAAGUGCGGUAAGAUUGGUCAUUUUAUCGCUAACUGCCCCGAUAACGAUAGUGACCAGGAACAGGGAAACAAGAGGGAAAAGAAGAAGAAUUACAAGAAGGCCAAGGGCGAGGCGCAUCUAAGCAAGGAGUGGGAUUCGGAUUGCUCCUCCUCCGACUCCGACAAUGAGGGACUCGCUGCCACUGCCUUCAACAAAUCGGCCCUCUUCCCCAACGAGCAUCACACUUGCCUCAUGGCAAGGGAAAAGAAGGUAAUCACUCGUAAUGCGAAUACUUAUGAUUCUUCUAGUGAUGAUGAAUCUAGUGAGGAUGAAAUUGAUUACUCUAGUUUAUUCAAGGGAUUGGAUAGAACUAAGAUAGCUAAGAUUAAUGAGUUGAUUGAUGCCUUAAAUGAAAAAGAUAGAAUCUUAGAGAAACAGGAAGACCUUUUAUAUGAAGAACAUGAUAAAUUUGUUAGUGCACAAAAUUCACUUGCUCUAGAAGUUAAAAGAAAUGGAAUACUUUCUUGUGAACUUUCUACUUGUAAUGAAACCAUUUCUUCUUUAAAAGGUGAAAUUAAUGCUUUAACUGCUAAACUAGAAGUAGCAAGUAACUCUUGUGUUGAAAACAUUACAAUUUGCACUAGGUGUAAGGAUUUUGAUGUUAAUGCUUGUAGUGAACACUUAGUUUCAAUUUCAAAACUAAAUGAUGAAGUGGCUAGUCUUAAUGCUCAACUUAAGACUAGCAAAAGUGAUUUUGAAAAACUAAAAUUUGCUAGGGAUGCCUACACGGUUGGUAGACACCCCUCAAUUAAGGAUGGGCUUGGCUUCAAGAGGGAAGCCAAUAACUUAACAAGCCAUAAGGCUCCCAUUCCCGCCAAGGAGAAAGGGAAGGCCCCUAUGGCUAGUAGUGCAAAAAGGAACCAUGCCUUUAUGUACCAUGAUAGGAGACAUGCUAGAAAUGCUUGUAAUGAUUUUGACUCAUAUGUUUAUGAUUCUCAUGCCAUGUUUGCUCCUAGUUCUUCAUAUGUGGAUGAUAGAAAUGUUACUAGGAGAAAUGUUGUUCCUAAAAGAAAUGUUGCUCAUGUCCCUAGAAAAGUUGUGAACAAAACUUCCACCAUUUAUUACGCAUGCAAUGCUCCCUUUGCUGUUUGUAGAAAGGGUAAAAAGGUAAUUGCUAGGAAGUUAGGGGCAAGAUGCAAGGGAGAUAAAACUUGCAUUUGGGUCCCUAAGGAUAUAUGUGCUAACCUUGUAGGACCCAACAUGAGUUGGGUACCUAAAACCCAAGCCUAAAUUUGCCUUGCAGGUUUAUGCAUCCGGGGGUUCAAGCUGGAUUAUUGACAGCGGAUGCACAAACCAUAUGACGGGGGAGAAGAAGAUGUUCACCUCCUACGUCAAGAAUAAGGAUUCCCAAGAUUCAAUCAUAUUCGGUGAUGGGAAUCAAGGCAAGGUAAAAGGGUUAGGUAAAAUUGCAAUUUCUAAUGAGCACUCAAUUUCUAAUGUGUUUUUAGUUGAGUCUUUGGGGUAUAAUUUGCUAUCUGUUAGUCAAUUAUGCAACAUGGGAUAUAAUUGUCUUUUUACAAAUGUAGAUGUGUCUGUCUUUAGAAGAAGUGAUGGUUCACUAGCUUUUAAGGGUGUAUUAGACGGCAAACUUUAUUUAGUUGAUUUUGCAAAAGAAGAGGCCGGUCUAGAUGCAUGCUUAAUAGCUAAGACUAGCAUGGGCUGGCUGUGGCAUCGCCGCCUAGCACAUGUGGGGAUGAAGAACCUUCACAAGCUUCUAAAGGGAGAACACGUGAUAGGUCUAACUAAUGUUCAAUUCGAAAAAGAUAGACCGUGUGCAGCUUGUCAAGCAGGGAAACAGGUGGGAGGCUCUCAUCACACCAAAAAUGUGAUGACGACAUCAAGACCCUUGGAGAUGCUGCAUAUGGACCUCUUCGGACCCGUCGCCUAUCUGAGCAUAGGGGGAAGUAAGUAUGGUUUAGUUAUUGUUGAUGACUUUUCCCGCUUCACUUGGGUGUUCUUUUUACAGGAAAAAUCCGAAACCCAAGGGACCCUCAAACGCUUCCUCAGGAGAGCUCAAAAUGAGUUUGAGCUCAAAGUGAAGAAGAUAAGGAGCGACAACGGGUCCGAGUUCAAGAACCUUCAAGUGGAGGAGUUCCUUGAAGAGGGAGGGAUCAAGCACGAGUUCUCCGCUCCCUACACACCACAACAAAAUGGUGUGGUAGAGAGGAAGAACAGGACGCUCAUCGACAUGGCGAGGACGAUGCUAGGAGAGUUCAAGACCCCCGAGUGCUUUUGGACGGAAGCCGUGAACACGGCUUGCCACGCCAUCAACAGGGUCUACCUUCAUCGCCUCCUCAAGAAGACGUCGUAUGAGCUGCUAACCGGUAACAAACCCAAUGUAUCUUACUUUCGUGUAUUUGGGAGCAAGUGCUACAUUCUAGUGAAGAAAGGUAGAAAUUCUAAGUUUGCUCCCAAAGCUGUAGAAGGGUUUUUGUUAGGUUAUGAUUCAAAUACAAAGGCGUAUAGAGUCUUCAACAAAUCAUCGGGUUUGGUUGAAGUCUCUAGCGACGUUGUAUUUGAUGAGACUAAUGGCUCUCCAAGAGAGCAAGCUGUUGAUCUUGAUGAUGUAGAUGAAGAAGAUGUUCCAACGGCCGCUAUGCGCACCAUGGCGAUUGGUGAUGUGCGACCACAGGAACACUUGGAGCAAGAUCAACCCUCUUCCUCAACUAUGGUGCAUUCCCCAACACAAGACGAUGAACAGGUUCAUCAACAGGAGACGUGUGAUCAAGGGGGAGCACAAGAUGAUCAUGUGAUGGAGGAAGAAGCGCAACCGGCACCUCCAACCCAAGUUCGAGCGAUGAUUCAAAGGGAUCAUCCCGUCGACCAAAUUCUGGGUGACAUUAGCAAGGGAGUAACUACUCGAUCUCGAUUAGUUAAUUUUUGUGAGCAUUACUCCUUUGUCUCUUCUAUUGAGCCUUUCAGGGUAGAAGAGGCCUUGCUAGAUCCGGACUGGGUGUUGGCCAUGCAAGAGGAGUUAAACAACUUCAAGCGCAAUGAAGUUUGGACACUGGUGCCUCGUCCCAAGCAAAAUGUUGUGGGAACCAAGUGGGUGUUCCGCAACAAACAAGACGAGCACGGGGUGGUGACAAGGAACAAGGCUCGACUUGUGGCAAAAGGUUAUGCCCAAGUCGCAGGUUUGGACUUUGAGGAGACAUUUGCUCCUGUGGCUAGGCUAGAAUCAAUUCGUAUCUUGCUAGCAUAUGCCGCUCACCAUUCUUUCAGGUUGUUCCAAAUGGAUGUGAAGAGCGCUUUCCUCAACGGGCCAAUAAAGGAGGAGGUGUACGUGGAGCAACCCCCUGGCUUCGAGGAUGAACGGUACCCCGAUCACGUGUGUAAGCUCUCUAAGGCGCUCUAUGGACUUAAGCAAGCCCCAAGAGCAUGGUAUGAAUGCCUUAGAGAUUUCUUAAUUGCUAAUGCUUUCAAGGUUGGGAAAGCCGAUCCAACUCUUUUUACAAAGACUUGUGAUGGUGAUUUAUUUGUGUGCCAAAUUUAUGUCGAUGACAUAAUAUUUGGUUCUACUAAUAAAAAGUCUUGUGAAGAGUUUAGCAGGGUGAUGACGCAGAAAUUCGAGAUGUCGAUGAUGGGCGAGUUGAACUACUUCCUUGGGUUCCAAGUGAAGCAACUCAAGGACGGCACCUUCAUCUCCCAAACGAAGUACACGCAGGACCUGCUAAAGCGGUUUGGGAUGAAGGACGCCAAGCCUGCAAAGACACCAAUGGGAACCGACGGACACACCGACCUCAACAAAGGAGGUAAGUCCGUUGAUCAAAAAGCAUACCGGUCAAUGAUAGGGUCAUUACUUUACUUAUGUGCUAGUAGACCGGAUAUUAUGCUUAGCGUAUGCAUGUGUGCUAGAUUUCAAUCCGAUCCUAAGGAGUGUCACUUAGUGGCGGUGAAGCGAAUUCUUAGAUAUUUAGUUGCUACGCCUUGCCUCGGGCUCUGGUAUCCAAAGGGGUCUACCUUUGACUUGAUUGGAUACUCAGACUCCGAUUAUGCUGGAUGUAAGGUCGAUAGGAAGAGUACAUCGGGGACGUGCCAAUUCUUAGGAAGGUCCUUGGUGUCAUGGAAAUCUAAGAAACAAACCUCUGUUGCCCUAUCCACCGCUGAGGCCGAGUAUGUUGCCGCAGGACAGUGUUGCGCGCAACUACUUUGGAUGAGGCAAACCCUCAGGGACUUUGGCUACAAUCUGAGCAAAGUCCCACUCCUAUGUGAUAAUGAGAGUGCUAUCCGCAUGGCGGAAAAUCCUGUUGAACACAGCCGCACAAAGCACAUAGACAUCCGGCAUCACUUUUUGAGAGACCAUCAGCAAAAGGGGGAUAUCGAGGUGUUUCAUGUUAGCACCGAGAACCAGCUAGCCGAUAUCUUUACCAAGCCUCUAGAUGAGAAGACCUUUUGCAGGCUGCGGAGUGAGCUAAAUGUCUUAGAUUCGCGGAACUUGGAUUGAAUUAUAGCAUACAUGUGUUUAUGCUUUUGAUCAUGUUCAUUCUGCAUUUUGUUGCUUACUGUGGUGCUCAAGUUGUACAAGCACUCCCUGGACCUCACAAGUCCGUGCAAAGUGAUGCACAGUUUUAGGGGGAGAUGUGUUACAACUUGACCCUUUGAGACUAACUAUGUGGUUGAGUUUGCUUAAUUUAGUCUCGAAGGAGAAUUGAAAGGGAAUGGUGGACUUGGACCAUGAAAGACUUCCACUGCACUCCGAUGAGAGGGUAACUAAUUCCAAGUCCAUCUCAUGAACUCUUAUUGCUAUUUGAUCUUAAUUGAAGAUUUUGGUGAGGCAAUGGGGUUAAAAGGGCCAAGAUUGAUCCCGUUUUGGUGCUUGAUGCCAAAGGGGGAGAAAAUAAAGGCCAAAGCAAUAAAUGGAUCAGCUACCACUUGAGAAAUUUGUAGAAGCUAGUAGAAUAGAGCUUGUUGGUUUGUCAAAACUCUUUCAUUAUCUCUUAUGUCAAAAGUUGGUUUCUUGUGGGGAGAAAUAUUGAUUAUGGGAAAAAGGGGGAGUUUUUGAAAUCUUUUGAUUAAUCUCUUUUGGAAUGACUCUCUUUAUGCUUCAACUUGUGUGUUUGACUUAGAGAUAGAGAGUUGAGUUUGAUUUGCAAAAACAAACCAAGUGGUGGCAAAGGAUGAUCCAUAUAUGCCAAAAUUGAAUAAAACUCAAAUUUGUUUUAUUUGAAGUGAUUUUGAACUUGUUCUAGUUGCUUUAUGUUGUGUUGGCAUAAAUCACCAAAAAGGGGGAGAUUGAAAGGGAAAUGUGCCCUUGGGCCAUUUCUAAGUAUUUUGGUGAUUGAGUGCCAACACAAAGUGCUUAAUGUGAAUCUAUGCCCAUGGAUGGACAAGUUGCAAAUCACAAGUAAAAGGUAUGUUUCUAAGACUUAGUACAUUGGUUUUGUGUACUAAUAUAUUUGUCUAAGUGUUAGAAACAGAGAGAAGAAGAAAAGGAGAUGUUGGCUGUGUACAGCCAAAGGCUGCUUCGGGCUGGGGCACCGGACUGUCCGGUGUGCACCGGACAGUGUCCGGUGCGCCAGACCAGCGCGGGGCAAACCAGCCGCUCUCGGGUUUUCUCCGGCGACUUCGGCUAAAAUUCACCGGACUGUCCGGUGUGCACCGGACUGUCCGGUGAGCCAACGGUCGGCCGAGCCAACGGUCGGCCGCGGAAUCUGCGCGCGACACGUGUUCUGGCCAACGGUCGGAAGAAGGCACCGGACUGUCCGGUGUGCACCGGACUGUCCGGUGCGCCAGAUCUGCAACGGUCAGCAACGGUCGGCUGCGCCUGUUAAGGAAAGAAAUCGGGCACCGGACAGUGUCCGGUGUGCACCGGACUGUCCGGUGCGCCCGACGACAGAAGGCAAGGAUGGCCUUCCAGAUUUGUUCUCAACGGCUCCUAGCUGCCUUGGGGCUAUAAAAGGGACCCCUAGGCGCAUGGAGGAGGACACCAAGAAUUCCUACAACAUUGCUAAGCACCAAGACAUCGAUUCCGCGCAUUUGAUUCAUUGUGAUAGCAUCUAGAGCUCUUGUUGAGUUGUGAACUCAUUGUGUUGCGUUGCGAGCUCUUGUUGCGAUUUGUGUGCGUGUUGUUGCUCUGAUUUUCGAGUCUUGUGUGCGUUGCUCAUUCUCACCUUACUCCGUGCUUCUUAGUGAAACUCAAUUGUAAGGGCGAGAGACUCCAAGUUGUGGAGAUUCCUCGCAAACGGGAAAAGAGAAAAGAAAAGAAGAACACCGUGGUAUUCAAGUUGAUCAUUGGAUCACUUGAGAGGAGUUGAGUACAACUCUCGUCCGUUGGGACGCCACAACGUGGAGUAGGCAAGUUUUGUACUUGGCCGAACCACGGGAUAACCACCGUGUCAACUCUGUGAUUGCUUUCUUGUGGUUAUCGGGUUCUGACUCUCUCUAGCCACUUGGCAAUUACUGUGCUAACGCUUAAUCAAAGUUUUGUGGCUAUAAGUUUAAGUUUUUACAGGAUCACCUAUUCACCCCCCCCUCUAGGUGCUCUCAUGAACCCGUUCAUCGUCUUGAGUUGGGGGAUGCACCAUUGUUGAGGAAGAAGGUUGAUCUCGCACAUCUUGUUCCUGUGGCCGCACAUCUCCAAUCGCCAUGGUGCGUAUUGCGGCCGUUGGAACUUCUUCUUCAUCUACAUCAUCACAAUCAACAACUUGCUCUCUUGGAGAGCCAUUAGUCUCAUCAAAUACAACGUCGCUAGAGACUUCAACCAAACCCGAUGAUUUGUUGAAGACUCUAUACGCCUUUGUAUUUGAGUCAUAACCUAACAAAAACCCUUCUACGGCUUUGGGAGCAAAAUUGGAAUUCCUACCCUUCUUCACUAGAAUGUAGCAUUUACUCCCAAAAACUCGAAAAUACGAAACAUUGGGUUUGUUACCGGUUAGUAGCUCAUACGACGUCUUCUUGAGGAGGCGAUGAAGGUAGACCCUGUUGAUGGCGUGGCAAGCCGUGUUCACGGCUUCCGACCAAAAACGCUCGGGGGUCUUGAACUCUCCAAGCAUCGUCCUCGCCAUGUCUAUAAGUGUCCCGUUCUUCCUCUCUACCACACCAUUUUGCUGUGGUGUGUAGGGAGCGGAGAACUCGUGCUUGAUCCCUUCCUCCUCAAGGUACUCAUCCACUUGAAGGUUCUUGAACUCGGACCCAUUGUCGCUCCUUAUCUUUUUCACCUUGGGCUCAAACUCGUUUUGAGCUCUCCUAAGGAAGCGCUUGAGGGUCCCUUGGGUUUCAGAUUUAUCCUGCAAAAAGAAUACCCAAGUGAAGCGGGAAAAGUCAUCAACUAUAACAAGACCAUACUUACUUCCUCCUAUACUUAGAUAGGCGACGGGUCCAAAGAGGUCCAAGUGAAGCAUCUCCAAAGGUCUUGAUGUGGUCAUCACAUUUUUGGUGUGAUGUGCUCCUCCCACUUGUUUACCUGCUUGACAAGCUGCACAAGGUCUAUCUUUUUCGAAUUGCACAUUAGUUAAACCUAUCAUGUGUUCUCCCUUUAGAAGCUUGUGAAGGUUCUUCAUCCCCACAUGUGCUAAGCGGCGAUGCCACAGCCAGCCCAUGCUAGUCUUAGCAAUUAAGCAUGCAUCUAGACUGGCCUCCUCUUUUGCAAAAUCAACUAAAUAAAGUUUGUCGUCUAAUACACCCUUAAAAGCUAGUGAACCAUCACUUCUUCUAAAGACAGACACAUCUACAUUUGUAAAUAGACAAUUAUAUCCCAUAUUGCAUAAUUGACUAACAGAUAACAAAUUAUAUCCAAGAGACUCAACUAAAAACACAUUAGAUAUAGAGUGCUCGGAUGAAAUAGCAAUUUUGCCUAAGCCUUUCACCUUGCCUUGGUUCCCAUCACCGAAUAUUAUUGAAUCUUGGGAAUCCUUGUUUUUGACGUAGGAGGUGAACAUCUUCUUCUCCCCCGUCAUAUGGUUUGUGCAUCCGCUGUCGAUAAUCCAGCUUGAACCUUCGGAUGCAUAAACCUGCAAGGCAAAUUUAGGCUUGGGUCUUAGGUACCCAACUUAUGUUGGGUCCUACAAGGUUAGUACAAAUAUCCUUAGGGACCCAAAUGCAAGUUUUGUCUCCCUUGCAUUUUGCCCCUAAUUUUCUAGCAACUAUCUUCCUAUCCUUUCUACAAAUAGCAAAGGAAGCAUUUAAAGCAUGAUAUAUUGUAGAAGGUUCAUUAACUUUCCUAGGAACAUUAACAACAUUUCUCCUAGGCCUAUGAACAAAAUAUCUUCUAGACAUAUCUCUACCAUGCAUAUAGGAAGAACUAGUAGCAAACAUGGCAUGAGAGUCAAAAGCAUCAUAAUCAUUACAACUCCUAUACGUCUGUCUUCUAUCAUGGUACAUAAUCGCAUGGUUCUUUUUAGCACUACUAGCCAUAGGAGCCUUCCCUUUCUCCUUGGCGGAGAUGGGAGCCUUAUGACUUGUUAAGUCCUUGGCUUCCCUCUUGAAGCCAAGUCCAUCCUUAAUUGAGGGGUGUCUACCAAUCGUGUAGGCAUCCCUUGCAAAUUUUAGCUUGUCAAAUUCAUUCUUGCUAGUCUUAAGUUGGGCAUUAAGACUAGCCAAUUCAUCAUUCAAUUUGGAAAAUUGAAGCUAGGUGUUCACUACAAGCAUCAAUGUCAAUAUCUUUACACCUCUUGCAAAUCAUAACAUGUUCUACAUAGGAGUUAGAUUUACUAGUUAUUUCUAACUUAGCAUUCAAACCAUCAUUCAUGCUCCUUAAGCUAGAAAUUGUCUCAUGGCAAGAAGAUAGUUCACAAGAAAGCAUUUCAUUUCUUUUAACUUCUAAAGCAUAAGAUUUUUGUGCCUCUACAAAUUUGUCAUGCUCUUCAUAUAAAAGGCCCUCUUGUUUUUCUAAGAGUCUAUCCUUUUCAUUCAAGGCAUCAAUCAAUUCAUUAAUCUUAUCUACUUUAGUUCUAUCCAAUCCCUUGAACAAACUAGAGUAAUCUAUUUCUUCAUCACUAGACUCAUCAUCACUAGAAGAAUCAUAAGUAGUACUGUCUCGAGUACAUACCUUCUUCUCCCUUGCCAUGAGGCAUGUGUGACACUCGUUGGGGAAGAGAGAUGACUUGUUGAAGGCGGUGGCGGCGAGUCCUUCAUUUUCAGAGUCGGAUGACGAACAAUCCGAGUCCCACUCCUUGCCAAGGUGUGCCUCGCCCUUAGCCUUCUUGUAUGCCUUCUUUUUCUCCCUCUUGCUCCCUUGUUCCUGGUCACUUUCAUUAUCGGGACAGUUAGCAAUAAAAUGACCAAUCUUACCACAUUUGAAGCAUGAGCGCUUCCCCUUUGUUUUGGUCUUGCUUGGCUGUCCCUUGCGACCCUUUAGCGUCGUCUUGAAGCGUUUGAUGAUGAGGGCCAUCUCUUCAUCAUUUAGCCCAGCUGCCUCAACUUGCGCCACCUUGCUAGGUAGCGCCUCCUUGCUUCUCGUUGCCUUGAGAGCAAUGGGUUGAGGCUCAUGGAUUGGACCGUUCAACGCGUCGUCCACGUACCUCGCCUCCUUGAUCAUCAUUCGCCCGCUUACGAAUUUUCCAAGGACUUCUUCGGGCGACAUCUUGGUGUACCUAGGAUUUUCACGAAUAUUGUUCACCAAAUGUGGAUCAAGUACAGUAAAGGACCUUAGCAUUAGGCGGACGACGUCGUGGUCCGUCCAUCGCGUGCUUCCGUAGCUCCUUAUUUUGUUGAUAAGGGUCUUGAGCCGGUUGUAUGUUUGGGUUGGCUCCUCGCCCCUUAUCAUUGCGAAUCUUCCAAGCUCGCCCUCCACCAACUCCAUUUUGGUGAGUAAGGUGACGUCGUUCCCCUCAUGUGAGAUCCUGAGGGUGUCCCAGAUCUGCUUGGCAUUGUCCAAGCCGCUCACCUUAUGAUACUCGUCCCUGCACAAAGAGGCUAACAACACAGUAGUAGCUUGUGUGUUUCUAUGAAUCUGCUCAUUGAUAAACAUAGGACUAUCCGAGCUAUCAAAUUUCAUUCCACUUUCUACAAUCUCCCAUAUGCUCGGAUGGAGAGAGAAUAGGUGACUACGCAUUUUGUGGCUCCAAAAUCUGUAGUCCUCUCCAUCAAAGUGAGGAGGUUUGCCAAGUGGAAUGGAGAGCAAAUGAGCAUUUGUACUUUGCGGAAUACGAGAGUAGUCAAAAGAAAAGUUCGAAUUAACCGGUUUCCUUCUCUCGUAGUCGUUGUCGUCGUUGUCCUUUUGGGAAGAAUUGGACUCAUUGCUGUCGUCGUAGUAGACGAUCUCCUUGAUGCGUCUUGUCUUCUUCUUCUUUCCAUCUUUGCGUUUGUGGCCCGAGCCCGAGUCGGUAGGCUUGUCAUCUUUGGGCUCGUUGACGAAGGACUCCUUGUCCUUAUCAUUGAUCACAAUCCCCAUGCCCUUAGGAUCCAUCUCUUCGGGCGGUUAGUCCCUUUCUUGAAGAGAACGGCUCCGAUACCAAUUGAGAGCACCUAGAGGGGGGUGAAUAGGUGAUCCUGUAAAACUUAAACUUAAUGCCACAAAAACUUGAUUAAGCGUUAGCACAAAUAAUGCCAAGUGGCUAGAGAGGAGUCUCAACAAAACACAAUAACCACAAGAGAUCAAUCACAGAGAUGGCACAGUGGUUUAUCCCGUGGUUCGGCCAAGACCAACGCUUGCCUACUCCACGUUGUGGCGUCCCAACGGACGAGGGUUGCAAUCAACCCCUCUCAAGCGGUCCAAAGACCCACUUGAAUACCACGGUGUUUUGCUUGCUUUUACUAUAUCCCGUUUGCGAAGAAUCUCCACACUUUGGAGCCUCUCGCCCUUACACUUAGAUGAUCACAAAGAAGCACAGAGUAAGGGAGGGACAAGCAACACACUUAAGACAAGAAAUCACAGCAACACCAUGCACACAAGUCGCAACAAGAGCUCACAACACAACUCAAUGAGUUCACAACUCAACUAGAGCUCUAAUUGCUAUCGCAAGGAAUCAAAAGCGCGGAAUCGAUGUCUUAGUGCUUAGUAAUGCUUAGAGAAUGCUUGGUGUACUCCUCCAUGCGCCUAGGGGUCCCUUUUAUAGCCCUAAGGCAGCUAGGAGCCGUUGAGAGCAUUCCUGGAAGGCAAAUCUUGCCUUCUAUCGCCUGGCGCACCGGACAGUCCGGUGCAGAUUUCUUUCCUUCCCUGGCGAAGCCGACCGUUGGCGCCUGGGAUCCGUUGGCGCACCGGACAGUCCGGUGCUCCCUCCCCACCGUUGGCUCGGCCACGUGUCUUGCGCAGAUCGCGCAGCCGACCGUUGGCUCACCGGACAGUCCGGUGCACACCGGACAGUCCGGUGCGGAUUUCUUUCCUUCCCUGGCGAAGCCGACCGUUGGCGCCUGGGAGCCGUUGGUGCACCGGACAGUCCGGUGCUCCCUCCCCACCGUUGGCUCGGCCAUGUGUCUUGCGCAGAUCGCGCAGCCGACCGUUGGCUCACCGGACAGUCCGGUGCACACCGGACAGUCCGGUGAAUUAUAGUCGUACGUCGCCGAUGAAAUCCCGAGAGCAGCGAGUUCGCACGAGCCAGCCUGGCGCACCGGACACCGGACACUGUCCGGUGCACCACCGGACACUGUCCGGUGCACCACUGGACAGUCCGGUGCACCCAGACUGAGCAGACUUUGACAGAGCAGAGCCAUCUCAUUUCCAAUUCAAUCUUUCCCGUUUCCAGCACUUAGACACAAUACAUUAGUUCAUAAAACAAUGUACUAAGUCUGGAAACAUACCUUUUGACAUGAUUUGCACUUUGUCCACCACAUUGCAUAAAUCAACACAAGAGCACUUGCGUUGGCACUCAAUCACCAAAAUACUUAGAAAUGGCCCAAGGGCACAUUUCCCUUUCACUUUCUCCGUUUGUGCCGUCGAGGAGGACAUGGUGGCGCCUGCCACACUUAGGUUAUCUUGGUGAUGAGGAGUCUAGGUCUGAGAUAUUAGACAACCAAGGUCGUAGCGUGACAGCAGUCGGCAUAUGCUACCGAGUUGGUGGUGGUGUUGUGUGAAAGGGAAUUAGGCUUGCACCUAGUCCCUAAUUAAUUUUGGUGGUUGAAUUGCCUAACACAAACAAUUGGACUAAUUAGUUUGCCCAAGUGUAUAGAUUAUACAGGUGUAAAAGGUUCACACUCAGCCAAUAAAAAGACCAAGUUUUGGAUUCAACAAAGGAGCAAAGAGGCAACCGAAGGCCCUCUGGUCUGGGAGCACCGGACUGUCCGGUGUACACCGGACAGUGUCCGGUGCACCAGAGGACUCCAACUCGAACCCGCCACCUUCGGGAAUUUCCAGAGGCACUCGCGCUAUAAUUCACCGGCUUGUCCGGUGUACACCGGACAGUGUCCGGUGCGCCAAGGAUGAGCGGCCUCAGGAACUCGCCAGCUUCGGAAAACUCCAACGGCUAGUCCGCUAUAAUUCACCGGACUGUCCGGUGUGCACCGGACUGUCCGGUGCGACUCCGGAGCAACGGCUACCUCCGCGCCAACGGCUACCUGCAGCGCAUUAAUUGCGCGCGCAGCGCGCGCAGAAGUCAGGCGCGCCCAUACUGGCACACCGGACAGCAAACAGUACCUGUCCGGUGUGCACCGGACACCCAGGCGGGCCCACAAGACAGAAGCUCCAACGGUCAGAAUCCAACGGCAGUGAUGACGUGGCGGGGGCACCGGACAUGUCCGGUGUGCACCGGACUGUCCGGUGCGCCAUCGAGCAGACAUGCUCCCAACGGCCACAUUUGGUGGUUGGGGCUAUAAAUACCCCAACCACCCCACCAUUCAUUGCAUCCAAGUUUUCCACUUCCCAGCUACUACAAGAGCUCUAGCAUUCAAUUCUAGACACACCAAAGAGAUCAAAUCCUCUCCAAAUUCCACACAACGCCAUAGUGAUUAAAGAGAGUGAUUUGCUUGUGUUCUUUCGAGCUCUUGCGCUUGGAUUGCUUUCUUCUUUCUUGAUUCUUUCAUUGCGAUCAAACUCACUUGUAAUUGAGGCAAGAGACACCAAUCUUGUGGUGGUCCUUGUGGGAACUUUGUGUUCCAAGUGAUUGAGAAGAGAAAGCUCACUCGAUCUGUGGAUCGUGUGAGAGAGGGAAGGGUUGAAAGAGACCCGGCCUUUGUGGCCUCCUCAACGGGGAGUAGGUUUGCAAGAACCGAACCUCGGUAAAACAAAUCUCCGUGUCUCACUUGCUUAUUCGCUUGGGAUUUGUUUUGCGCCCUCUCUCGCGGACUCAUUUCUUUAUUACUAACGCUAACCCGGCUUGUAGUUGUAUUUAUAUUUGUAAAUUUCAGUUUCGCCCUAUUCACCCCCCCUCUAGGCGACUUUCAAUUGGUAUCAGAGCCCGGUGCUUCAUUAGAGCCUAACCGCUCGAAGUGAUGUCGGGAGAUCACACCAAGAAGGAGAUGGAGACCGGCGAAAAGCCCACUACAAGCCACGGGAGCACUUCAUCGGAAGAGUCCCGCACCAAGAGGAAGGAGAAGAAGAAGAUCUCCUCCAACAAAGGGAAGGAGAAGAAAUCUUCUUCUCACCACAAAGAGAAGAAGGAAAAAUCUUCUUCCCACAAGCCGCAUCAAAGCGGAGACAAGCAAAAGAGGAUGAGGAAAGUGGUCUACUACGAGACCGACACUUCAUCAACAUCAACCUCCGGAUCCGAUGCGCCCUCCGUAACUUCUAAACGCCAAGAGCGUAAGAAGUUUAGUAAGAUCCCCCUACACUAUUCUCGCAUUUCUAAACAUGCACCUCUACUUUCCGUCCCAUUAGGCAAACCACCAACUUUUGAUGGUGAAGAUUAUGCUAGGUGGAGUGAUUUAAUGCGAUUUCAUCUAACCUCACUCCACAAAAGUAUAUGGGAUGUUGUUGAGUUUGGUGCACAGGUACCGUCCGUAGGGGACAAGGAUUAUGAUGAGGAUGAGGUGGCCCAAAUCGAGCACUUCAACUCUCAAGCGACAACAAUACUCCUUGCCUCUUUAAGUAGAGAGGAGUAUAACAAAGUUCAAGGGUUGAAGAGCGCCAAAGAGGUUUGGGAUGUGCUCAAAACCGCGCACGAGGGAGACGAGCUCACAAAGAUCACCAAGCGGGAAACGAUCGAGGGGGAGCUCGGUCGGUUCCGGCUUCGCAAAGGGGAGGAGCCACAACAUAUGUACAACCGGCUCAAAACAUUGGUGAACCAAGUGCGCAACCUCGGGAGCGUAAAAUGGGAUGACCAUGAAAUGGUUAAGGUUAUUCUAAGAUCUCUUAUUUUCCUUAACCCUACUCAAGUUCAAUUAAUUCGUGGUAAUCCUAGAUAUACUAAAAUGACCCCCGAGGAAGUAAUCGGGCAUUUUGUAAGUUUUGAGUGCAUGAUCGAAGGCUCGAGGAAGAUCAAUGAGCUUGAUGAUCCAUCUACAUCCGAGGCUCAACCCGUCGCAUUCAAGGCGACGGAGGACAAGAAGGAGGAGUCUACACCAAGUCGACAACCAAUAGACGCCUCCAAGCUCGACAAUGAGGAAAUGGCGCUCAUCAUCAAGAGCUUCCGCCAAAUCCUCAAGCAAAGGAGAGGGAAAGACUACAAGUCCCGCUCCAAGAAGGUUUGCUACAAGUGUGGUAAGCCCGGUCAUUUUAUUGCUAAAUGUCCUAUAUCUAGUGACAGUGACCGAGGCGAUGACAAGAAGGGGAGAAGAAAGGAAAAGAAGAGGUAUUACAAGAAGAAGGGCGGCGAUGCCCAUGUUUGUCGGGAGUGGGAUUCCGACGAAAGCUCAAGCGACUCCUCCGACGACGAGGACGCCGCCAACAUCGCCGUCACCAAGGGACUUCUCUUCCCCAACGUCGGCCACAAGUGCCUCAUGGCAAAGGACGGUAAACGGAAGAAGGUUAAAUCUAACUCCUCCACUAAAUAUGAGUCUUCUAGUGAUGAUAAUGAUAGUGAUGAGGAGGAUAAUUUGCGUGUUCUCUUUGCCAAUCUUAACAUGGAGCAAAAAUAAAAAUUAAAUGAAUUGAUUAGUGCUAUUCAUGAAAAGGAUGACCUUUUGGACUCCCAAGAGGAUUGUUUAAUUAAAGAAAACAAGAAACAUGUUAAGGUUAAAAAGGCUUAUGCACUAGAAAUUGAGAAAUGUGAAAAACUAUCUAGUGAGCUAAGCACUUGCCGUGAGAUGAUUGACAACCUUAGGAAUGAAAAUGCUAGUUUAAAUACUAAGGUUGAUUCACAUGUUUGCAAUGUUUCAACUUCAAAUCCUAGAGAUAAUAAUGUUGAUUUACUUGCUAGGAUUGAUGAGUUGAAUGCUUCCCUAGCUAGCCUUAGAAUUGAAAAUGAAAAAUUGCUUGCUAAGGCUAAAGAUUUUGAUGUUUGCAAUGCUACAAUUUCCGACCUUAGAACUAAGAAUGACAUGUUACAUGCUAAGGUUGUAGAAUUAAAAUCUUGCAAACCCUCUACAUCUAUCGUUGAGCAUAUAUCUAUUUGCACUAGAUGUAGAGAUGUUAACAUUGAUGCUAUUCAUGAUCAUAUGGCUUUAAUUAAACAACAAAAUGAUCAUAUAGCAAAACUAGAUGCUAAAAUUGCCGAGCACAACUUAGAAAAUGAGAAAUUUAGAUUUGCUCGUAGCAUGCUUUAUAAUGGGAGACGCCCGGGCAUCAAGGAUGGCAUUGGCUUCCAAAGGGGAGACAACGUCAAAAUUAGUGCCCCACCUAAAAGAUUAUCCAACUUUGUUAAGGGCAAGGCUCCCAUGCCUCAGGAUAACGAGGGUUACAUUUUGUACCCUGCCGGUUAUCCCGAGAGCAAAAUUAGGAGAAUUCAUUCUAGGAAGUCUCACUCUGGCCCUAAUCAUGCUUUUAUGUAUAAGGGUGAGACAUCUAGCUCUAGGCAACCGACUCAUGCUAAGUUGCCUAGAAAGAAAACUCCUAGUGCAUCAAAUGAUCAAAACAUUUCCUUUAAAACUUUUGAUGCAUCUUAUGUUUUAACUAACAAAUCCGGCAAAGUGGUUGCCAAAUAUGUUGGGGGUAAGCACAAGGGCUCCAAGACUUGUGUUUGGGUACCCAAAGUUCUUGUGUCUAAUGCCAAAGGACCCAAAACCAUUUGGGUACCUAAAGUCAAGAACUAAACUUGUUCUGUAGGUUUAUGCAUCUGGGGGCUCAAGUUGGAUACUCGACAGCGGGUGCACAAACCACAUGACUGGGGAGAAAAAGAUGUUCUCCUCAUAUGAGAAAAACCAAGAUCCCCAAAGAGAAAUCACAUUCGGGGAUGGAAAUCAAGGUUUGGUCAAAGGUUUGGGUAAAAUUGCUAUAUCUCCUGACCAUUCCAUUUCCAAUGUUUUUCUUGUAGAUUCUUUAGAUUACAAUUUGCUUUCCGUAUCUCAAUUAUGUCAAAUGGGCUACAACUGUCUAUUCACUGAUAUAGGUGUCACUGUCUUUAGAAGAAGUGAUGAUUCAAUAGCAUUUAAGGGAGUGUUAGAGGGUCAGCUAUACUUGGUAGACUUUGAUAGAGCUGAACUCGACACUUGCUUAAUUGCUAAGACUAACAUGGGUUGGCUCUGGCACCGCCGACUAGUUCAUGUUGGGAUGAAGAAUCUUCAUAAGCUUCUAAAGGGAGAACACAUUUUAGGACUAACAAAUGUUCAUUUUGAGAAAGACAGGAUUUGUAGCGCAUGCCAAGCAGGAAAGCAAGUUGGCACCCAUCAUCCACACAAGAACAUCAUGACGACCGAUAGGCCGCUUGAGCUACUCCACAUGGAUCUAUUCGGCCUGAUCGCUUACAUAAGCAUCGGCGGGAGUAAGUAUUGUCUUGUAAUUGUGGAUGAUUAUUCUCGCUUCACUUGGGUAUUCUUUUUGCAGGAAAAAUCUCAAACCCAAGAAACCUUAAAGGGAUUCUUGAGACGGGCUCAAAAUGAGUUCGGCUUAAGGAUCAAGAAAAUUAGAAGCGACAACGGGACGGAGUUCAAGAACUCUCAAAUCGAAGGCUUCCUUGAGGAGGAGGGCAUCAAGCAUGAGUUCUCUUCUCCCUACACGCCACAACAAAAUGGUGUAGUGGAGAGGAAGAAUCGAACUCUACUUGACAUGGCAAGAACCAUGCUUGAUGAGUACAAGACUUCGGAUCGGUUUUGGGCCGAGGCGGUCAACACCGCCUGCUACGCCAUCAACCGGCUAUAUCUACACCGAAUCCUCAAGAAGACAUCAUACGAACUCCUAACCGGUAAAAAGCCAAAUAUUUCAUAUUUUAGAGUUUUUGGUAGCAAAUGCUUUAUUCUUGUUAAAAGAGGUAGAAAAUCUAAGUUUGCUCCUAAAACUGUAGAAGGCUUUUUACUAGGAUAUGAUUCAAACACAAGGGCAUAUAGAGUCUUUAACAAGUCCUCUGGACAAGUUGAAGUUUCUUGUGACGUUGUGUUUGAUGAGACUAACGGCUCUCAAGUAGAGCAAGUUGAUCUUGAUGAGAUAGGUGAAGAAGAGGCUCCAUGCAUCGCGCUAAGGAACAUGUCCAUUGGGGAUGUGUGUCCUAAGGAAUCCGAAGAGCCUCCAAAUGCACAAGAUCAACCAUCCUCCUCCACGCAAGCAUCUCCACCAACUCAAAAUGAGGAUGAAGCUCAAGUUGAUGAAGAAGAAGAUCAAUCAAAUGAGCCACCUCAAGAUGACGGCAUAGAUCAAGGGGGAGAUGCAAAUGAUCAAGACAAGGAGGAUGAAGAACCAAGGCCGCCACACCCAAGAGUCCAUCAAGCAAUCCAACGAGAUCACCCCGUCGACACCAUCCUCGGCGAUAUUCAUAAGGGGGUAACCACUAGAUCUCGUGUUGCUCAUUUUUGUGAACAUUACUCUUUUGUUUCCUCUAUUGAGCCACAAAGGGUAGAGGAAGCGCUUCAAGAUUCGGAUUGGGUGGUGGCAAUGCAAGAGGAGCUCAACAACUUCACUAGGAAUGAGGUAUGGCAUCUAGUUCCACGUCCUAAUCAAAAUGUUGUAGGAACCAAAUGGGUCUUCCGCAACAAGCAAGAUGAGCAUGGUGUGGUGACAAGUAACAAAGCUCGACUUGUGGCCAAAGGAUACUCCCAAGUCGAAGGUUUGGAUUUCGGUGAAACCUAUGCACCCGUAGCUAGGCUUGAGUCAAUUCGCAUAUUAUUGGCCUAUGCUACUUACCAUGGCUUUAAGCUUUAUCAAAUGGACGUGAAAAGUGCCUUCCUCAAUGGACCAAUCAAGGAAGAGGUCUAUGUUGAGCAACCUCCCGGCUUUGAAGACAGUGAGUAUCCUAACCAUGUCUAUAAGCUCUCUAAGGCGCUUUAUGGGCUCAAACAAGCCCCAAGAGCAUGGUAUGAAUGCCUUAGAGAUUUUCUUAUUGCAAAUGGAUUCAAAGUCGGAAAGGCCGAUCCUACGCUCUUUACUAAAACACUUGAGAAUGAUUUGUUUGUAUGCCAAAUUUAUGUUGAUGAUAUUAUAUUUGGGUCUACUAACGAAUCUACUUGUGAAGAGUUUAGUAGGAUCAUGACACAGAAGUUCGAGAUGUCAAUGAUGGGGGAGUUGAAGUAUUUUCUAGGAUUCCAAGUCAAACAACUCCAAGAGGGCACCUUCAUUAGCCAAACGAAGUACACUCAAGACAUUCUAAACAAGUUUGGGAUGAAGGAUGCCAAGCCCAUCAAGACACCCAUGGGAACCAAUGGGCAUCUCGACCUCGACACGGGAGGUAAGUCCGUGGAUCAAAAGGUAUACCGGUCGAUGAUAGGUUCUUUACUCUAUUUAUGUGCAUCUCGACCGGAUAUUAUGCUUUCCGUAUGCAUGUGUGCAAGAUUCCAAGCCGACCCUAAGGAAGCUCACCUUACGGCCGUGAAACGAAUCUUGAGAUAUUUGGCUUAUACUCCUAAGUUUGGGCUUUGGUAUCCUAAGGGAUCCACAUUUGAUUUGAUUGGUUUUUCGGAUGCCGAUUGGGCGGGGUGCAAAAUCAAUAGGAAGAGCACAUCGGGGACUUGCCAGUUCUUGGGAAGAUCCUUGGUGUCUUGGGCUUCAAAGAAGCAAAAUUCGGUUGCUCUUUCCACCGCCGAAGCCGAGUACAUUGCCGCAGGCCAUUGUUGCGCGCAAUUGCUUUGGAUGAGGCAAACCCUGCGGGACUACGGUUACAAAUUAACCAAAGUCCCUUUGCUAUGUGAUAAUGAGAGUGCAAUCAAGAUGGCCGACAAUCCCGUCGAGCAUAGCAGCACUAAACAUAUAGCCAUUCGGUAUCACUUUUUGAGGGAUCACCAACAAAAGGGAGAUAUCGAGAUUUCUUACAUUAAUACUAAAGAUCAAUUAGCCGAUAUUUUUACCAAGCCUCUUGAUGAACAAACUUUUAACAAACUUAGGCAUGAGCUAAAUAUUCUUGAUUCUAGGAACUUCUUUUGUUAAAUUGCACACAUAGCUCAUUUAUAUACCUUUGGUCGUAUCCCCUUCAUAUGCUAUGACUAAUGUGUUUUCAAGACUAUUUCAAACCAAGUCAUAGGUAUAUUGAAAGGGAAUUGGAGUCUUCGGCGAAGACAAAGGCUUCCACUACGUAACUCGUCCUUCGCCGUCGCUCCAAGCAACUCUUCGUUCUAGGGGGAGAACACAUGAGCACCAAGCAACAGGACUUCGUAUUUGGUAUAAUCUUAACUCAUUUAUUUAUUGCCAAAGAGGAAGAUAGCACUUCGAGGGCUCUAAUGAUUCCGUUUUUGGCGAUUCAUGCCAAAAAGGGGGAGAAAUAAGCCCAAAGCAAAAGGACCGCACCACCACCUAUUUCAAAUUUCAAAAACUCAGUAUUGAAUAUUUUUCAUUUGGUAUCCUAUUGUGUUCAAAAGGGGGAGAAAGUAGUAUUUCAAAAUGAUACAUCAAGACCCUCUUGAACACUAAGAGGAGGAUCUCUUUUAGGGGGAGUUUUGUUUAGUCAAAGGAAAAGCAUUUGAAACAGGGGAGAAAAUUUCAAAUCUUAACAAUGCUUCUCAAAAUCUUACUCAUUUACCUUUGACUAUUUGCAAAAGAGCUUUGAAAAGAAUUUACAAAAGAUUUUGCAAAAACAAAACAUGUGGUGCAAGCGUGGUCCAAAAUGUUAUAUAAGAAAGAAACAAUCCAUGCAUAUCUUGUAAGUAUUUAUAUUGGCUCAAAUUCCAAGCAACCUUUACACUUACAUUAUGCAAACUAGUUCAAUUAUGCACUUCUAUAUUUGCUUUGGUUUGUGUUGGCAUCAAUCACCAAAAAGGGGGAGAUUGAAAGGGAAUUAGGCUUGCACCUAGUCCCUAAUUAAUUUUGGUGGUUGAAUUGCCUAACACAAACAAUUGGACUAAUUAGUUUGCCCAAGUGUAUAGAUUAUACAGGUGUAAAAGGUUCACACUCAGCCAAUAAAAAGACCAAGUUUUGGAUUCAACAAAGGAGCAAAGAGGCAACCGAAGGCCCUCUGGUCUGGGAGCACCGGACUGUCCGGUGUACACCGGACAGUGUCCGGUGCACCACCGGACUGUGUCCGGUGCACCAGAGGACUCCAACUCGAACCCGCCACCUUCGGGAAUUUCCAGAGGCACUCGCGCUAUAAUUCACCGGACUGUCCGGUGUACACCGGACAGUGUCCGGUGCGCCAAGGAUGAGCGGCCUCAGGAACUCGCCAGCUUCGGAAAACUCCAACGGCUAGUCCGCUAUAAUUCACCGGACUGUCCGGUGCGACUCCGGAGCAACGGCUACCUCCGCGCCAACGGCUACCUGCAGCGCAUUAAUUGCGCGCGCAGCGCGCGCAGAAGUCAGGCGCGCCCAUACUGGCACACCGGACAGCAAACAGUACCUGUCCGGUGUGCACCGGACACCCAGGCGGGCCCACAAGACAGAAGCUCCAACGGUCAGAAUCCAACGGCAGUGAUGACGUGGCGGGGGCACCGGACAUGUCCGGUGUGCACCGGACUGUCCGGUGCGCCAUCGAGCAAACAGGCUCCCAACGGCCACAUUUGGUGGUUGGGGCUAUAAAUACCCCAACCACCCCACCAUUCAUUGCAUCCAAGUUUUCCACUUCCCAGCUACUACAAGAGCUCUAGCAUUCAAUUCUAGACACACCAAAGAGAUCAAAUCCUCUCCAAAUUCCACACAACGCCAUAGUGAUUAAAGAGAGUGAUUUGCUUGUGUUCUUUCGAGCUCUUGCGCUUGGAUUGCUUUCUUCUUUCUUGAUUCUUUCAUUGCGAUCAAACUCACUUGUAAUUGAGGCAAGAGACACCAAUCUUGUGGUGGUCCUUGUGGGAACUUUGUGUUCCAAGUGAUUGAGAAGAGAAAGCUCACUCGAUCCGUGGAUCGUGUGAGAGAGGGAAGGGUUGAAAGAGACCCGGCCUUUGUGGCCUCCUCAACGGGGAGUAGGUUUGCAAGAACCGAACCUCGGUAAAACAAAUCUUCGUGUCUCACUUGCUUAUUCGCUUGGGAUUUGUUUUGCGCCCUCUCUCGCGGACUCAUUUCUUUAUUACUAACGCUAACCCGGCUUGUAGUUGUAUUUAUAUUUGUAAAUUUCAGUUUCGCCCUAUUCACCCCCCCCUCUAGGCGACUUUCAUUGUGUCACUUCGACGGGUCCAGGGCUAGGAAGACACUCGCAUUCUCUCGCCCUUCUCGGAUUGACGUCUAGUGCGGGUGCUCUCGGUUUGGAGCUGCUCCAGUUGGGCUUCUUUCUCCAUUUGUGUGCUCUCCCUAUAUAUCUAGCAGUAUACUACCUAUGUGUCACCUCUGGAUGCUUAGGUCUUCGUCAUGUAUGUUCUCCUUCCCUUCCCCUCCUGAUCUACAAAACCUUGGAAGUGGGGGAGACGAUGGAUGGGGGUCUCUGAUUUGCUGCCUAUGGUACCCGUGCGUUCAUAAAAAAAUAUUAUACAAAGAGCGGAGAAAAUCAAUAAAAAAUCUUGAGAUCUUUGUUGUGGAUAAUUUAUGUGUGUAUUUGUGAGUCGUCACAACGCACGGGUAACCGACUAAUCUAUACUAUACUUAAAGCACCAGUUUCAACGGUCGUCUCGUGUAAUCUUUUUACAAUAACCCCUCACAUCUAUUUCAAAUUAAUCCGCUGGAUGCCUAUAGAUGGCCAAACGGCGGCCCGGCAUAGGUCAGACGCCUACAGACCACAACUCUGGCCCAGGUAUGUGAUGCCAGCAUGCUGACUGUGUCGGGCCAGCCCAUUAGCCCGUCGGUCCAUUUGAUUAAAUCAGUGUAAAAUGUUAAAAAACGGUGCAGGAAGUGGGGACCGAACUCAUGCUCUGAUGGAAGAUGGGCGGGAGACACUAGGUGAAGCUGUCUAACCAGUAAAACAUCAUGCUCAUAUGUUUUUAAUAUUGAAUAUAAAUUGUAUGUAUAUUUUUUUGUAAAAUAAAAAAUAUAAUCAUGUCGGGCCGGACCAGCACUAUAGGCCGAGGCUACAGCCCAAGCACGACACGACAUUUUUGGCUCUUGCAAGCAUUAGGUCGUUUCUGAGACCACAUUGGCGCAAUGGACUGCAUGGUGUUUGUGAGGUUGCUGAAUUGGAUGGAGCAACAAUAAUUUGUCAGACUAACAGUAAAAUGAAAAGUUAUUUGUUGGUUUUAAACGUUAGUAAUUGCUAUAAAGUAGCAUAAUUUAUAUGGAGCGUAUACAGUUUUUAUUGAUGGCUGACUUUAGCAACCACUCUAUAUUUUGAUCUAUCUUUUUUAUAAGUUUGACUUCAUGUGACUUAUUUUAGAAACUUGAGCUUACAAACUUUCUCUUAUUUGGUCUCUGUAUGGCGGAAUUAUGCCAUUUAAUAAUCUCUGCUCGUUCAGUCAGUCGUUAUGAACUAUUUUCUAAUCGCUCACUUCAUUGGUCGUGUUGUACCAAGACAUAUUGCAUGGGGUAAACAAUAACAUCAGUUAGCCAAAUCAAAAAAAAAUAUUAUACAGAGAGCGGAGACAAUCAAUAAAAAAUCUUGAUUUUUUAUAGAUAGUUUACGUUGGUAUUGUUGUAAGCCGUCGCAACGCACGGGCAAACGACUAGUAUACAUAUAUUAAUCAGUCUAUGAAUAUGACACGAAAUUUAUUGAUUAUACGGCACGAAAGCUUUACAUCAUGUAGACAAAGUGUAAAUUAAGAUGGUGAUAGAUCACACAUGUGACAGUACACACGCAUCACACAUUCGCUGAACAUGCAUGAACACUCACUCACUCCUCGUAGCAGCAGGAAAAGAGCAUGAAUCGUAACACGUACCGCGCAACAAAGGUCUAGUGUUCCUUAGAGCUAGCGCAGGAGGUGAGGCCAGCAUAAUCGCCGGGGCCAUAGACGUCAAACAGUUCCGAGAAGAACCCCUUGUUCCUCCUGGGAUUGUGCCCCAUGUCGCGGCAGAGCUGGUCGUUGUACCAGGUGUGGAGCAGCAGGAUGCUGGAGCGGCGGAAGUACCUUCCCGAGUACCUCUUGAUGCACUUCUCCCACGCGAGGACGUCCUGGUGCAUCGCCGCGACGCUCGGCAGCCUGAAGCCGCCGUCCAGGAAGCGCGCCAGCCACUUGGCGCGGACGUCCGACGUGUACAUGUUGGAGAUGCUCUCGGAGUACCCGAGCACGGCCAGCUGAGGGAUCCUAGGGUGUAUGCACUCCCUGUAGAGAGGCACGGUGGUGGACGCCGACCCAACUGCGACGCCUCGGAAGUACUCCGACGUGAACAUGUCCCUGAUCUUGUCGUCCCCCUUGAACCCGGUGGCGAAGAUGACGACGUCGCUCUUCACCACCGCCGCCGCCGCCGGCGCCGACGCCGACGACGACGGCUCGCCCUCCACGACCACCACGCCGUCCUUGCAGAAGCUGAACGUCUUGGACUUCUUCAGCACUAUGCUCCCUUCGUCCAGCCGCUUGUAGUGGUCCUUGGGCGUGAUGGCGAUGGUGGCGGCGGCCAGCGCCUGGAACAGGCUGUGGUCGGGCACCAUGUCGUGCUUCCUCAUCGGGAUGGAGUAGUAGCUCUCGGCGAACUUGGAGAAAGCCCACCUCUGCACACACAUGACACAACACAACACCAAGGGGUUCUUACUUCUUUUCAAGGGGUUCUUUUCAAUUCAGAUCAUGCAUGAGAUGGAUGGAUGGAUGGAUGGAAAUUACCAAGGGAGACAGAAGGGUGGCCAAGGCGGACAGGAGAAGGCCUUCGCCAGGCUUGUGGAUGAGGAGUUCAGAAAAGCGGUUGAGGUAGAGCCUUGAGAUGUGGAAGCCCCAGGCGAAGUAGUCCGGCAAGACCCAGUGCUUGGUCCGGACCACCAUUGUGCAAGGGUGAGCGGUGCCAUUCACUUGCGCGCAUUCGGCGGCGAUGUCGAGCGCCGACUUCAGGUAGCCAACGACGGUGACACGCUUGCCCCUUAUCGUCUCCUUGGCCUUGCUCGAGCCCAUCUUGGCGUAGUCCAUGGAGUGCAUCACCUGCCCGUCAAACACCUCUGGACCUUCGCCCUCUGGGAACGUCGUGGGUACGUUGGGCACACCACUGAACCUCCCCACGCAAAGAACCACAAAGUCUGCUGCGUGUGUCUGCAGAAAUCAAGAACGUCGUGGGUACGUUGGGCACACCACUGAUCUCGCUCCAUCCAAAUGCAUGCUAGAUAUAGCCUAGGCAGCUCUGCUCACCUCAACGUGGCCGCCGCCGUCGGCGUCGGCCACAGACAGAAGCCACUCUGUUAGCAGCAGGUAGUGGAGAUAGAUCCGAGACAGGAAUUGGAGGUAGGAAGCAGGAACUAGGGAUUCAGGAAGAUAGCAAGAGAUUCAUAGGAACAGAGGAAGCAGAGGUUAGAGACGAAGAAGAAGGUAUAGUUCUGUUUACAGUCUGAAUAUCUCCCUUGUCCUAUGGACGAUCUCCUCUAAAUACUCGUUCAACUGGCUCAAGACACAAAAUUACAUUGCUGACCACUCUGGGCCGCUCAGCUUCACAAUUGCCGUCCGGCUCGCUCACUCUGCCCCGGCCCAAUUGUAUUUAUGUCCUCAGACGUAGCCUGUAUCUGUCACUGGAUGCCUGACAUUCCCCCCUUCUUAAGAUUUGGCUUGCCCUCAAGCCAAAAGCAUCACGAACUUGAGGUCGAAGACCAUUCUGCCCGGAUCCCAUGGAGUUAGCAAGCCAAUGAUCCAUAUCAAAUAUUUACCACAACUGAUCAUUUGUGUCACUCCAAUAGAGGCAAGCAUCAGAUGAAGUUCAUGAAAAUUAUAGCCAUUAGCCACUUCUAGCAUUUCUGAUAGUAAAUGUCUUUCUAUGUUGGUGGCUAACUCCUGUGACCAAGACUUGGGCAAUAGAAUAUUAGGAAAUGAAAACUGUGCACCACAAAAUAUCUCAACUGAUGAUGAAUACUUGAGCUUUCUGAAAAAUAAUAGACUGUUCAUGCCUGUAAUUGCCAAUAAAAUCAGCUGUGAUAUGAACUGAAAUUGUCUAAUUAUGCUAGCUGAGAAAAAUUCACCAUGUGACUGCUGCCAAUAUAUUGGUAGUUCAGAAAAUAGAAACUGGGUUAUUUCCUGACCAUCCCAAGGAGCAAACAUAUCAGCUUGAAUGAAAUGUCCAUGGAAGUGUUGCAAACUCAGUAGAUCGAAGCCAUAGAAUAUCAUGUGCAUCCUCUCAUUGUGUUGAAUGAAGUAGCAAUCAGGAGCAACGAUUAGCCACACCACACCUCUGUCAUGCUGACUGUAUAAAUGAGUAACUCCAGAAAAAUUCCUAACAGUCCAAGUAAACACCAUGACACCCGGAAUCGAGCAAACAAUGGCUUCCUUCAAAACACCAGGUCGACCUCCAUAUAAUAUGCCUUCUCCCAUCACAUCUAUGCAGGUCUGGUGCUGUGGCAUGUUUAGUGCAAUCUUCAUUGCUUGCUGUCUUGCUGCAUUUAACACAGCACGAGCUUCAGAGAAUAGUCCAAGCCUAUCUGUGUUGCCAAGAGAUCUCAUCCAAGGUUUACGGCAAUGAACCAUUUCUAAAGCACAAAGACGUGAUGUCUUUAUCAAUUCAUCAGGAGAGCAAAUGGCGUCAAUAGGUAAAUGACUUCUCUCAUCUUCUAUAAGUAUAAUGUUGAACAUUGCAGGUGUUGAAGCCAAUCCCACCUGUAGGAUAUCAUGUCCAGCAGCAGUGAUUCCAUGAGUGACUGCAUUCUGUAAUUUGUGUGCAUAAUUUCGUGAAUCAUGUCCAAUAUCGUGGCUGAGACAUUUGGUCGAACACUCGAGGGGCGAGCUGCUGCUGUCCGUCUUCAGCUUGAUGAUGGUGAAGUCGUGGAAGAAGUGUCCGUCGAACCUGCCAAAGGCGACCUGCAUCACGUAGGCCCUAGUGAGUGAUGCGUCGAAACGCAGCAGUCCGUGCCGCUGCACAACGUGGCGGUAGUAACUGGUGUCGCAGGUGGUGCAACUGCCGGGAUCGAGCUCCAACACCGCUGCCGCCGUACUGGUGCUGUUGCGGGAGCAGCGCAUCCGCCACUUGUUGGCGAAGUGUGUGUCGAUUGCCGGGUCAGGCGUGGUGCAGAUAGCGGUGUGCGCGUCCCUGAGGAUGGUGCUUUGCUGCAUUUCCUCGAAUACUACCUUGGCACCAAUCAAGGUAGGCGAAAGCUUGAGGUACUGCAGCAGCAGGCACCCGAUGUGCGACUUGACAGGGUCGAGGCGGGCGCACAGGAGCGUGUCCAAGGGCGUGGCGAGCUGCUCCUCGAUGGCGCGGUCCUCGCCGUAAGUGUCCUCGAUGCCGCCCGCCACGGUGGCUGCGUCGUUUAGGUCCAUCACGAACGGCGCGUCGCUGCCGCGAAUCCCCUUGAGCGUGCUCUCCAUGUCGCCCGUGGCCGAAGCGCACCACCACAAGGUUGUCGCGGCUGCUGGUCCAUCGCCGACGGACGCAGCGAGGGAGGCGUCGUCGAGCGAGGCGCAUGCGGAGAGGUCGAGCCGCUCGAGCGUUAGGAACGCACGAAGUAGGCGCGGAAGUGGCUCGCGUCGGGGCAGCCAUAGCGCGCGACAGUGCACGGCCUCGGCCAUAGCAUGCUCGGUGAGCCCCCAAGUCGAACAGGUGGUGGGCAUGGCGAAGUUGGUGUUGCUGUGCGCGAGUUGAGACAGCGCAGCGCCGCCGCUACCAUGGACGGAGUUGUAUGAGCCAUAUUCGAUGCCGGUGGCGAUGAGCUCACCGGCGUGGUGGUUGUCGAACAACGCCUUGUCCGAGUGGGAGGUGACGAACGCCUCGUCGGGGUCGGAGUCGCGCAGGUUCGAAGAGAUAUCGCCGUCAGCAUCACAGCCCUCGAAGAGCCCGCCCCAGUUGUCGGCAACGACAGAUGGCGCUGCGUAGUACUCCUUGUCGUCAUCGAAGCACCCGCCCCAGUUGUCGGCGAUGACGACGGUCCCAACGGCCGCAGUCGGGGUGGGCGGCAUGCUGGCGGAUGUGUCGGAGGAUUGGUGGACGCUGAGCAGUGUGGGCGGAAGGUCGAGGUACGCAGAAGGCGAGAAGCGCCGGUCCCAGCGAACCUCCAGCUCGUCGAAUCGCCGGUUGAGCUCGUCGAGGAUGAGCUUGAAAUCGAGCGACAUGGCGUGGGCAAAUUGAAGUCGAGGAUCGAACGAAUCUGAUACCAAUUGUUAGCAGCAGGUAGUGGAGAUAGAUCCGAGACAGGAAUUGGAGGUAGGAAGCAGGAACUGGGGAUUCAGGAAGAUAGCAAGAGAUUCAUAGGAACAGAGGAAGCAGAGGUUAGAGACGAAGAAGAAGGUAUAGUUCUGUUUACAGUCUGAAUAUCUUCCUUGUCCUAUGGACGAUCUCCUCUAAAUACUCGUUCAACUGGCUCAAGACAUAAAAUUACAUUGCUGACCACUCUGGGCCGCUCAGCUUCACAAUUGCCGUCCGGCUCGCUCACUCUGCCCCGGCCCAAUUGUAUUUAUGUCCUCAGACGUAGCCUGUAUCUGUCACUGGAUGCCUGACACACUCGCCGGCGCCGGCGCCGCCGAAGGCCUGGCCGUUUCCGGCCCACUCCUCCCACGCGGCCACGUCCCGCUCGCCGACGCCGCGGUACUCCAUGCCGACCACACGGCGGCCGAAGCGGACGCAGCCGAGCACGCCGAAGCGGCGCGCGUACGCGUCCAGGUACGCCGACACCUGGCGGUGGCUCGGGAACGUCUCCGUCACGCUCUCCGGCCACGGGAAGUCCGCGUACUGGUACAAGGGGCGCGGCGUCUGCAGCUCGGUGCAGGCCGGCGCGCGCGCCCACACGCCGCCCAGCACCGUGUCCGCCUCGAACACGGUCGGCCGGCACCCCAGCUCCAGGAGGUGCUUGCACGCCGCCAGGCCGCUCACGCCGGCCCCCACGAUGACCACCCGCUUCUUCUCCAUGCCAGCCGGCCGGCGCGGUGCGGAGGCUUGGCUAGCUGACGGCUGUGCUGUGCAGCUCAGCUAGCAAGCGCGCGUGAGCAAGUGGAAGACCUGGUGAGUGGUGACUGACUACCCUGAUCAGUGAGGUGGCGAUCUUAUAGAAAGCUGGCGGUGCAUGCAAUAUUGUAUGAGCUCGUUCUCUGCAUGCUAGCUUUUUAAAACUUUUGCUAACAAGUCAAACAUCUGGGGUGCAGGCAGGCAGAGAGCUGGAUCAGAGAAUACCAAAAAUGGAUGUGAUAUAGCUUAGUUGUCACGGAACUACCAGCUCAAUUGAUUUUUUUUAAAAUAUAAAUAUAAAUAGGAUCAGGCUGCUAAUAAUAGGGAAUCGAUAUAGUCGUCUCAUGCCAUGUGCCAUCCUUUGGUGCUUGAGAAUAAGAAACCAAGGAUAUCGGAUCUUGUACUAGCUGUAGGAUUCAGCAUGGGGCGCGUGCGUGCACUAUUGUAUGAGAAAAAAAACAAAACAAUCUACCAUUGAGCAACAGAAGCCUUCAUGGCUUCAUCACAUAAUCCGAUGCAUUAUUGUGUGUGACUUGUUUCUGCUGCCUGCCUGCCUGGCUUGCUCGAUCAUCUCUCAUGCUCAGUUUACCUGGUGGUGCCAUGCUGAGCGAUGUCUUUUUUUUUGUAACCAUUGUUAAUAUAGAUUAUCUCUGUCAACGAUUAUGCAUGCUCAGGAAUAAUUGAGUUUUAAUAACCUAGCUAUGAGGCUGUGUGGGUAGCUUAUUAAAAGGUUUCCAUGUAUUUGAUAUCCAUAAAGCAUAUGCUCUAUUUCAUGGUGUAUAUAUGGUUGAGAUUGAUGUAUGAGUCAUACAUGAGCCCUUUGAUACAUAGAGAACUACGUGACAAGUAUAUAUCAAACUUUGCAUCAGUGUCUAACUAAUAUAAGGUUAUGCGUGUUUAGGCUUCGAUGGGUCGAGGCUCCGAUGGGCCUCUCGUGCAAAGCCCAGCAAAAUGCGCAGGAGCCCUCGUGCAAAGUCAAGCAAUCCCUCGCUCGGCUCUGAUCUGCUGUUAGGUCUCUCCUCCGCCUCCUGUCGGAUGAACUCCUCAACGUUGUAGAGCUGAUUUGGUGACCCAGGAUCUCAGGAGGAUUGGAGGGAAUUAAGGGGGAAAUAAACUAUUUUACUCUCAAUUCCCUCCAAUCCUCCCGGGAUCCCUACCUUAGGGCUGAUUUGGGGCUGAUUUGGUGACCGGGAAUCCCGAGGGGAAGAAAUCCUCUUGCUAUUCAAAAUUAUGGAUCCCCUAGGGAUCCCUAAUCACCAAAUCAGCCCUUAGGAGAUUUUCAAGCAUGAACUGUCUUCCAAGGUGUCGAUGUAGCUCUUCUCGAGUAGGUGCAGGAGUAGGUUAAAAACAAGGUCUGGUCUGAGUGAGCUGAAAGGAUGAAACCAAAUAAGCCAACAUGCCAUCAUAUCUAGACUAGGAGGAUAGAUGAAUCUUAUUACUAGCCACUAAAAAAAACAGCUGAAACGUGUAGCCCAUUAUUGUACCUACAAGGCUCUUUGGGCCCCUCGAUUUUAGGCCCAGACUACGCUGCCAGUCCACCGUACUCUACUCUGUUUUUUUUUUCCUUCUUUUUUGGGCCCCUCCCCUCUCUGAGUAUAAACAACUUUGAUGAAUGAAUGGUUUGGGAUCCACAUGAAUUUCAGUAUCUGCAGCUUUGAACUACAUAACGAAUUUAGUUUCUGCUGCUUUGAACUAUACUGCGCCAAUGGCAGCGUCGGCAUGCACAGCACAGAGGGCCACUGGCGCACGUGGCUGUUCCCGUCCCGUGGUGGCCCUCUGCGCAAGCAGAGACAGAGCAGCCGACGACGACGAUGGCCAGCGACAGGAACUCAUGGGGGACAUGUAACAUUGCUUUGCCACACACUACGGUUUUCAACAAAUCAAAUAAACGUAGAAGAAAAACACAGCGGGGAUAGCUCAGUUGGGAGAGCGUCAGACUGAAGAUCUGAAGGUCGCGUGUUCGAUCCACGCUCACCGCAUUUUUUAUUAUUUGUUUUACCUUUUUCUGCAAUUCAUUAAGUCAUUUCAUUGUUCUUCUGCUAUUUGUUUUCUCUCUCCAAUUCAUUCAGUCAUUCGAUUUUUCUCUCUCUUUAUUUUCUCUCCAAUUCACAGGGUUGUUGCUUUAAAUGUUUUACAUGCUCUAAGGGCCUAUUUAUCAACAAUGUUGUUUCUUAAAACUAAUAGUUUUACAACAUUAUGAUUAUAGUGUUAUACCAAUGCAGCCUAUAGAAAGAAGGUAUAUAGAUAGAUUCAAAAGGGGGAGAGAGAUGAUCACGAGAGCGCGCAUAGAAAACUGACGCGUUACCAGCCGGCGCAUCCAUGCAGCCAUGUCCAGCCGACGAUGCGCAUGGACACACACACAGUGCAUGUGCAUGGCGCACGAGUCAUGUCACUGGUCAGCUGACAGUCUGACACCCGACGACGUGAUCCGGCCAACGAAUCCUGGCCGUCCGUUCGAUCGGCGCCCGCGCGCCUCUCUGCCCUCUCCGACGACCGUCCGACGACGAAGGCCUGGCCGUGGCCUAGACAGACUAGAGCUCUUUCGUCGAUCAUGUACGUGACGGUGAGAACGACGUGCUACCAAACGGACAGGAAAAGGUCACAACAGUGUCAUCUCCGACGACGCAUAUCGACGGCCGUGGCCCGUGGGGGGCCCUGUGCCGGCCGGCCGGGCCCACGAUGUGAGCUUUCCUCCGGCAGCCGGCAUUGCAUGAGGAGGGAGACUGGAACCCUUGUUUCUUCGGGGUUCGCUUUUGUGUGUCUCUAUGCAUGGAUCAGACCGGAGAACUAGAUUGCAAUAAAAGCACGGUCUCUGGGCAGAUAAGUUCAUGAAUGAACAAAUCGCAGCCAAUGCUUAGGUCUCCACUACCCAUGCUCUACUAAUUAUCAAAGUAAAAUUCAAUAACUCCAUAUCUUGUUAUUUUGGAUAGCACGUAUAGGUAGUCAUCCCGAAAGAUGUAGACCUCAUAGAGAUAGGCAUUCCAAAUGCUGCCUCAAGCACGGUCUAUGGGCUACUAAAUUCUAUAAAAGAAUUUAGUGUAGCCAAUGCUUAGGACUCUAUCUCCCUAUGCUCUUGAUCCAAAAUAAUGUAAUUUCUUUUUUUUUUGCAUGAGAUUUAUUAAGUCUAACUUAAUAAAUGCUAUAUUUAUAUGCAAACAUAAAUGAAUGCGUAAAUAAUAGCAAGUAGAGAUAUGUGAAUUAUUAAUGUAAAACAAACAAUAAUUCACGAACUAAAAUUUGCUCUAUGUACAAUAAAACAGAUAUGUCUUUACAAUAUAUGCAGUCUAAAUCACGAAUUUAGACGCCUAAGAUAACUUUGAACUGAAAAUGCAUAUAAAACAUAGUCUUAUACAGAAAUUCAGAAUUUAAAAUGGUAAAACAGGCUAUAUUAGGCCUCUGAAAGUAGCCCAGGCGGCCUGCCAGGCGAGCUAGGCAGCGGCCAGAGGCCUGCACGCCGGCCCAGCCCAGCUGGCCUGCCCAGGCGGCCCAACAGAGGCCCAAGAAGCCUAUUUUAUAUUGGGGCGGCUAGGGUUUCCAACCCUAACCGCCCCCAGCCGCCGUCGCCCACAGCGGCUAUUGCCAGCCGCCGCCAGGGAGCAGGAUGCUCCCAGCCGCCACCAGGCUCCAGGAGGGAGCCGCCGCGCCAAGGGGAAAGGGGCCUGCGGGCCCUCCCGCGCCGGUCUCUGCGCCGAUCCGCGCCGCGCCUGUGCUCGGUGGAAGCCAGGCCGAGCGCCUGGAGCUCGCCGGCUCGUCUGGCCGGCCGGGGGCCGUACGCGCCCAUGCUCUGGAGCCGUAGGAGGCCGCGCCGAGCUCGCCUUGGCGGGCCGCGCCGAGUGCCGCCGCUGGUGGCCCGGUCUGGCAGCCGCGUCGAGCGCCGCCACGGGGGCCACACGACCCACUCGGAGCCGCGCCGGGGUCGGUGCCGCACGCCCGGACCACCGCUUGAGGGCGUGGGUGGGCCCGCCUGCUCGCCGGGGGCCUUCCGCGCCCGUGCUCUGGAGCCGUGCGCGCGCCCGCCUGGGCUUCUCCCGCGCCAGGGCAGGACCGGCUGCGCUCCGCAGAGCGCGCUCGCGCCGGGUUUGCCGCGCCGUUCCCCACCCCCUCCCCCCCAAACGGCCGACGUGGCGGCCGGGUCGAGGGCCAUUAGGCCCUCCGAUUGGAGGAGGAAGAUGAGGCCACCCCACUUGGGUGAUGGCCGGUGAAGAUGAUGCGGCCUCUCGGGGCAUCAACAGCGCGAGCAGGCUGCCCACGACGGGCAGCGAUGGUCCCGACGACCACGGGCGCCGGUGGAGAUGGCGAACGACGAGCAACUGCCGCUGCAGUGGGCGGAGGCGGCGGUGGUGCCUCCAAAUCGACGUCCAUAGGAGCGGAUGCAGACGAUCCCACGUCAACCACCGGCACCGGUGGCGACGGGGAUGCAGUGGGGAGUCCACACUCCACCACUGGCAGCGGAACCACCGCUGUCCAUCCAUGGAUAACGCAGAAGUGCACAUUUUGCACUUGCACACGGCGUUCAGGGAUCGCGUGCACCGGUGGAAGCGCUGCGGCUUGCCCAACGGUGAACGCUUCCAACAUCGCAUCAUCAACAAUAUGAAGAACUUCGCGCAUACGACGUAUGCGCAUGGAAACGGUAUGCUCCAUACCUUGCUGUUGAUGUGUAGAUCGAUCUUGCUGUUCUUGUCAAGAACAGCGUGUUCUUCCUCUUCCCCUUCUCUGAUUUCUCUCUUGAGACAGUGCUAAUAACGUAUUGUAAUCUAUUGCAGUGCUCAGUGGCAAAUGGAAAAGUACAGAGACAAAAUGGCAGAGGAGAGUUCUUUAUUGCAGAGAUAGAUGUAUAUAUAGUGUAGUACACAGGGUUCCAAAAAUGUGCGACCCUUAGGCAAUAACUGCCACUAGUUAGGAUUGAUCACAUGUGAAACUUUUGUAACACAGCCUACGAUUCACACACACAGUGCAUGUGCAUGGCGCACGAGUCAUGUCACUGGUCAGCUGACCCGACGACGUGAUCCGGCCAACGAAUCCUGGCCGUCCGUUCGAUCGAACAAGAGCUCUUUCGUUGGCCGGAUCGAACGGACGCCGUAUCGUUGGCCGAUCGAACGAAUCUCUGCCCUCUCCGACGACCGUCCGACGAUGAAGGCCUGGCCGUGGCCUAGACAGACUAGAGCUCUUUCGUCAUCGAUCAUGUACGUGACGGUGAGAACGACGUGCUACCAAACGGACAGAAAAAGGUCACAACAAUGUCAGCUCCGACGACGCAUGCAUAUCGACGGCCGUGGCCCGUGGGGGGCCCUGUGCCGGCCGGCCGGGCCCACGAUGUGAGCUUUCCUCCGGCAGCCGGCAUUGCAUGAGGGAGACUGGAACCCUUGUUUCUUCGGGUUCGCUUUUGUGUCUCGUCUAUGCAUGCAUGGAUCAGAGAGAGCGGAGAACUAGAUUGCAAUAGACCAAACUCUGCCUCGAGUCGACGGCUAUAGUGUGAACCACACUACCCAUCAUUUUUUUAAUCAUCAUCGUCGUGGAAGCUUAUCUAUUCGCUUCGGAUUCAAGUCGGGUGUUUGAACUGGUACAGCUGCAAUCCAUAUAGACAAAAAUACUGUACAGACAGUAGAAAACGGUACGGAUUAAAGAUAAACGAACUGACUAGUAUCACGCAGAAAGUCUGAUACAGAAAACAGUCUUUUGGCCUCCAAAAAGCAAUACACCUCAGGUUGGGGAUCAUGCAUCGUCUCACCCUCCUGUGACAUUUUAAACAAAAUAUUAACUGAAAACCUUGUUUUAUGGGCUUUGUGUAAUAGCUUCACGAGUUUAAAAAGCUAGUAACGUUAUCUUGAAGCUACCAUUGGCAUUUCGAGGUCACAGACAGAGCAAAGCCUCCUUCGCAGUCCAGCUGAUGCUGCGCUGAUUUCUUCUCCUUUUUUUUUCCCCCUGCAUUGCAUUGCUUCCUCGUUUGGUUGCGCUUCGUUCGGUCAGCCAAAUGCAAGGCAUGCCGGUACGGUGGCUGCCAGCUUUCCGCUAGCUCAGGUUUGCUCUGCUCUGGACACAUGUGUGUAGUUCGUAUUCCAUGUAUUUCUAUUCAGGUUCAGGUUGAGGUUGAGGUUGAGAGACCCUGACGUGUUGUGUUGCUUCUGGACCAGGAUGCGUGGUGGUUGCCACCCCUAUCCAUCUCCAUCUGCAACGACGCGGUUUCUGUCGCCGCCGCCGCCGCCGUCUGGACCCGCUGGCAUGGCAUGGCAUGUGAGCAAGGGAUCGAGUCGAAAGGAGGGCGGCGCAGGGAGGAGUGGGAUGAUGGCUCACGCAACCAAAAAUGCAUGGCAUGGCAUGGCAUGGCAGAUUGUUAGAUGCUGCCUCCUAAGUGCUUGACCCGUAAUCAUUCGGUUUGGUUGGAGACGUGGAAGGAGAGGCCAGGCAUGGUUUCGGCUUGGCGUGGCUCGUCAACUCCGCAUUCACGGGGCCGUUGGGGGUGGUGGAUAGCUUAAAAUUGUGGCUCAGCGAGAAAAGAAAAAAAUUCGGUGAUCAGUAAAAUAGAGGGGAUUCAAUUCUCUGGAUAUUCAAAAUUGAAUAGAAAGGCAGCCCGGUUUCACAGUGCGUUGGAGUACAUGUGACGCGAACGUUUCGAAGAGCGCGUCAAUCCAUCCGAAUCCGAAAGCAGGAAGUACCAUUGGACGCCUGCUCCUCCUGGGCCCACGCACGAGCCACGGCGGGCCAACCAAACCAAACCAAACCAACCGUAUUUUAUCCAAACCAACAUCAUCUUCAGGUGGUUACACCGUUUUACAAAAAGGUGAUUUCGUUCGUACGUAUAAAAUAAAUAAAUAAAUAAAGCUGGAGACAAUGACGCGGCAACGACACAAGGUAGACACAGACACGCCCGGCCGGAUCAUCGUAGGCCUGCCCUCGACGUCCGCCGAACUAAUUUUAAUUUGAUAAUCAUAUAUACGCUUCAAUCAUCAUAACUAACCCACAUGAUCCCCCCCCCCUACUACUCCUACUCCCACCACCUACAGGCUACAGUUGCCGUCCACAUCGCCCGCCGCGAUUGGCCGUGACCUCCGUCAAGACACAGCAUGAGAACCAGCCAAUCACAAAAACACGCCAAACUUUCGGAACAAGAAAAAAAGGCGUAAAAAAUUCAGAUGAAAAAUACAAUUUCGUAGAAAAAGUAAACAGCCACACCGGUCAACUUUACAAAUGGCAGCCGAAACCAAAGCGCGUCUUUGUGCGUGUAUAUAAACACCGAACUCGCAGUGACGCAUCAGCAAUAAGCGCAAACGCACACAAGCGGAGGACAAACAAACAGCAAGAGAGCGGAACGCCGAAAGGCAAAGGCAAAGGCAACGGCAACGCAAGCCAGAGGCAGAGCGCGCCCCGCCACGAUGAAGAAGGAGGAGGUGGCCUCGCCGGCGGCGGCGACGGUGGUCCUGCUGCUCCUGUCGUCGUCGUUGGCGGCCGUCUCCGGCCAGCCACAGCCGCAGCCGCAGCCCGGGGGCAGCAAGCAGACGGCGGCGAACAACCCGCGGCUGCAGAAGGCGUACGUGGCGCUGCAGGCGCUGAAGCGCGCGGUGACGGAGGACCCCAAGAACCUGACGCGGA